AAUAAAGUGGUAGUAUUUUUGAAAAAUUUUCUUAACCAAAUUCAAAUUAUAAGAAUUUAAUAUAAUAAUGAAACAACAAAGAGAUAUAGAGAGAAAGAAUGUAAAUACAAUUUAAUGCGAUUCAAAGCAAUCUUGCCUAAAUCCAUGAUCCUCAAGCUCUGUCAAUCCUUAAGGUUGCUCCACUAGCACAAAGAUCCUUUAAAAGCAACGUUCUUUUCAAGUAUAAUUAGUUUCAAAGGCACCAAUCAACCUUUACAAGAUCAUCCAAGUGAGUAAUAUUUACUCAAUUACUCUCUCUCAUAAUAUACUUCCAAUAAAUGAGAAAGAUAUAAAAGCUAACUUGAACAAUGAGAAUUACAAGUAAAAGUAGAUAAAUGUACAAUCAAUGAGGAUAUGCAAGUUAGGUAAUAAUUACACUAAUGGUAUAUUUAAGGCUCAAAAUGCUUGACAAGAACGAUUUUUAAGAGUUAUGUAAGUUAUAAAUAAGAUCUAAAAGUCUUUAUAUUAACAAUGUGCAAAAAAUAAUCAUUAGAUAGAAAUCUUGCUCAAUCAAUCAAUUAGUCGAUUGACCAUCUAAAUAGCCUCAAAUAGUUACUUCACCCUACAAGUGAUCUUAAUAUGGCAAAUAGAUAUAGUGGUCAACCGCCCAAUCCACUCUUUGGUCUUUUAAAGCCUUGUUCACAAGUCACUACCAAAGGGGAUGAUUUUGGAGGAAUGCAACACUAUAAUCUGACCUAUUACUUGAUUGAUCACCUAGACUAUAAUUUUCUAAAAGCCAACCCUUUGAGAGUCCUAAAUAGAUUUACGUUGUAUAUUAUUGGUUCUUGCAAUAUUUUGAAUACCUUAUUAAAAGCGUCUCAAGUUUUCUUGAAAUAAAGAUCAUUGUCUAUAUUUUGAGAAAAUUAUUUAUUAAAGGUUCCUAAAAAAAUUAACUUUACCAGGGAAAAUUUAAAAGAUAAUAUGCAAUUUUUAUUUAAGCUUUUUCAUUCUCCAUCAUUACUUUUUCUUUUUUUUUCUUAAAAAUGUACAUAAAUGUACUUGAAAUGUAAUAAUCUACAUUCACUUGAUGAAAUUGAUUACAUACAUAUCAUUCCUUUUUUAUUAUAAAAGAACUUUACACUAGUAAUUUCCCCCUUUUUAUAAUAACAAAAUUAGGGAUAUUAUAUAUAAUUUGUGUUUCCCCUAAAUACAUGCAACCUAUGGAACAAAAUAAUUUCAACAAGUGUCAAAAAGUGAUGUUCCAAACGUAUCUUUAAUAUAAUAGUAUAACCUAAAUAUCAAACAAUAAAUGAUCUGUGAAACCAUAAUCAUAACAUAGUCAUAUCAUGAAUUAUAGAAAAUGUCCAAACAUGGAUAAUCAUCACAAUGUAAAAUGAGGCACAAAAAAAAAAUUCAUAGUCUAUCACACAUCACAUAUAACCAAAAUACCUAAAUAUAACCAACUAAAAUACCAAUCAUAAGUGAAAACACAAACAUAAACAUGUCUAGAAAGCAUAAGCAUAAAUAUGUCUAAUGCAUAUAUUUUCCCUUUUGGCAUCCUCGAAAACAUGGUAGAAUGAACCUAAGGGAGAAAGGAAACAAGGCAAGUCAUAGCUAAAGAGGUGGUGAAGAUGGGAAAUAUUGGUAAAUGAGCUAGAAAACUUCUUGAUGUGGGGCCUUACAAUGGGUUAGUUGGUUGCACCCAUUUGCAUAAUAGCUACUUGUUAAUUAGUCCUACUCUACCUAAUCUAAGCAUGAAAGUUAGCAAGUUAGAAGACCAUGAACUAGAGCUAUGAGGGUUGUCGAAAGCUUAACUUCUCCAUAUGAUUACCCAAUGCAUUAACCAACAUGGAAAGUGAAAGGAAUUAUGAUUAGGCACUAGUUUGCAACAAACCUACUCAAAUAUCUUAGUAUUUAUAGAGGACAUCUCCUAGAAAUUAGUAUAUUAUCCUUAUUAUAGAAGACUGACCUCUUGCUCCAUAGGCUUUCCUAUUAGCUCCAUUUGUACAAACUUUUCUUCCUCUUAAAUAGCCUCAUAGUGUAGCUCUUUUCUUGAAAUAAUAGGUGUUUGUUCAUUUGUUUUCUUAACUUAACCCUCUAGUUUUGGUAUCCACAAAACAUAAGGAAGCUCUUUAUAAUGCAUCCAUGUUAGGGUAAUCUUGUAAUAGGUAUCAUAAAGGGUCAUGUAUACUACUACAAGCCCAUUUCUCAUAUUCAUAUGAAAAGCCUUUAGUAUCUUUUUAUUGAACAUUCCAUAGGGCAGUGCAUAAGUCUUACUACUACAAUGUGCCUUCAUGAAUUGCAAAAUAUUACAACAAAUAUUUAUAUUUCUCUUCUUCAAUAUACUUCCAACUAAAAAGGCUUCUAAAAAUGAAACAUCAUCAUGGGAUUUUUUUUUAUGAAUGAAAAUAUAACCAACCAUAUUUAGGAAUGAGAUAAAAGCUAAUCAUACGGUGUACAAGUUACAUCUAAGAAUGAGAUCUUUGGCAAAGGGCUUGAAAGCAUAUUAUAAUAUGCAAAAUAAUGUAUGUAUAAUUUAGGACUCGAACACUUUUCAUUUAACUAUUUUCUAGCUUCUCCAACCAACAACCUAGAUCAUUAAAUUUGCCAAUUUGAUUAUUUAUCAAAAUGGUUGGAACAUCUAUAGAGUCUACAAAUUUUUUGCUAGACUAUAAUUGUUUUCUUUGAUUUCUAGUGAUAAGAAUCUCAUUUUUAUCCCAAGUAAAAUACUUUAUUUGAUUACAAAAAUGAAAAUUGGUAUUUAAGAAACUUUCUCAGUUUUUAAAUCGAAAACAAUGUCCAUGUCCAUCUUUAUAAUGUUUUCCAUUUUUUAAGUCUAUGCUCUUUUGAAUAUGUAAAUCUUUUCAAAAAUUGGCAAUCCACACGCAACCUGGAGACAUGAGAAAGAAAGGCCAACACAUAGCAACUCUCCUCACUAGUAGCAUGUAUCAAGAAGCAACACGCACCAGAGGUUUUCAAGUGAGAAUACGCAUUGUUGUAGGUUGCAAAUUCCAUUGGGGAAACACGUUCAAUAGCAACAUAAAUAUGCAAGUUUUUAAGAUUGUUAACUUUAAUUUUUUAUCGACCCCUUUUAAUAAGUUUAUAAUUUUUUAGAGUUUUUAUUUUUUUAAUUUAACCUCAUCAUCAUAUUCAUGUUUUCAAGUUGUUAUGUUUAAAUUGUAAUUAAUCCCGUUUAAUCAAUGUGCUUUAGAAUUUUAGUUUUUUUUAGUUUAAUUAAUUCCACAUCGUUAUGUUCAUUUUUUUAAGUUGUUAAAUUUAGUUUUUGAUCAAUCUCGUUUAGUUUAGAAGCUUUCAUAAUUUUUAGUUCAUUAGUAAAAUUGUCUCCAUGUUAUAAAGUUCUAUUUUUUAAAUUGAUUUAGUUUACUUUGAUUCAUUUAUUUAGUUUAGAUACUUUUACAAUUUUUAGUUCAUUAAUAAAAUUGUUUCAAUGUGGUAAAGUUCUUGUUUAAAAGUUUGUUUUGAUUUCAUGCUGAUUCAUCUUCUUUUAGUUUAAGUGUUUUUUUUAUAAUUUCUAAUUGAUUUCACGUUAGUAGUUUUUGUUUUAAAAGUCAUUUAUAUUAGCUCUUGAUUGACUUUAUCUUAGUUUAUGUGCUUUUAGAAUCCUAGUGGUUAGUUUAUGAAUUGAUAUCUUGUUAGUUUGUUUAAUUUAAAAUGUUUUGUUUGUUGCUUUAGUAAUCCUUUGUUUAAUUUGUUUUUUAGGCCUUUGGAAAAUUAUGAAGAUUGGACUCAAUUCUCACCAUAUUAUUUAAUUGGUCGUAAAAAAUUUCACUUCAUGAUUUUAAUUUCCUCUGGUUUUCUUGUGCUUGAUCAUUUGGGUUUUGUUAUUAGCAAAUAAAUUUUUUUCUUUUAAAAAGAAAUUUUUCUUUCUCAAAAUAUUCUUACAUAAAAAUCUAUUUCAAAAACCUAUUUAGCGUCCUUAGGAUCAAUUUUUUUUUACAUUUUCUUUUAAGGUAUGCAACCAAAUUUUAUUCAAAUAUAAUUCUAUUUUUUAGUGCAAUACAAAUCUAAGCUUGUGGUCCCAAAUAAAUAGGAUGAUUAUUGGUUUUUUGAGUUUAUCAAUACUCAUACAAGGUUGGAAAUUUAUAAGUUAGAUUUGUGUAUAUCAAAUGGGGAUUUGAUGAAACCUCUACAAAAAAAUUAUUUUUCAAAAACCUUUUAUUGUCAGUUUGUUGGAUUUACCGCAUACCUAACUUGAGAAGCCUCUAAAUUUUUCUUGUGGUUCUAUGGUGUUGUAAAUUUUUUGAAAUUGGUUUUAGAAUUUUGUUUGGGUUUAAAAGCAAUUUUCAAAUUAGAGAUACAAAUUAAUCUUUUGGUGGAUUUUUUUUUUACCCAGUUUUGGACAUCCGAAAUAUUUUUGUCAAAUAAAUUAUUAUUAUUAUUAUAUAUUCUUAAUUCUAAAAUUCUUUAAAUUGAUUUUAGGCACAUUCCAAUUGAGAGAUAUAUUUUUCCCUUACUGCAACCACUGCAUCAUCUUGAUUUUGAAUUGAAGGGCUAUUUGCUUAUUUCUAAAAUUGAUCUAUGUGUUUUUUAACAUUUCCAUUAUUUUUAUUGUAAAUUAGACUUUCUAAACAUGUUGUGUAAUUUUUUAUAUGAUUUUAUCACACUUCUAAAUGGGUUAAAAAAAUUUGGUUAUGCAUGCUUAGAAUUUAAUCCUAUUCUAGACUUUUCUUGAUUUAUUUUUUACAAAUUGGGAUUAUUUAAAGUUUCAAUAAAUUGUUUGGCCAUUUGGUAAUAAGCUAGACAUGUAGGAGAGGUUCCCUAAUUUUUGUUUCAAUUAAGUUCACCUUCUAGAUGAUUUUUUUAGAAUUUGUAUUAUGAAGGCUUCAAUUAUGACUACAUGUUGACAAUUUUGUACAGUGCUUGACUUGUUAAUUAAUCUAUUGUUGAUUGACUAAUCAUCACUUGAUAUUGGCUUUGGUAUUGUAUUAUAAACAUAAAUAAGAUGUUAUGAAAUGCAUGUUUUGCAUCGGUCCCUAAUUUGGUAUUUCUAAAUAUCUUAUACAUUAGUUAACUUUAAUAAUGAGCUUGUAUGCAUAUCCUAGGUGAUAGGUGAUAUUCUUUUGGAUUCUUAUCCUUUUUUUUUUUAAACAUAAAUAUACCAUAUAUAUUAAUAUUUUGAGUCAUAGUUAUUCCUUAUUAUAAUUUUUUUUAACCUCUUUUAGCUAUAUGCAAGCACAUUGUAAGUUAUGUAUGCUAUCCAAGUACAUUCCUCACCUUUUAUCUCUCUAAUUUUGUAAAUAGGCAAGACUUUGAGUGUGGACAUUCUAACAUGUGAUAUUGCCUCAUUAUGCUUUGACUAUUUUUUGGUUUUCUUGAUUGAGAUAGAAUGCACGUUGUAUGUUGUGUUAUUUUUUAAACUAACUUUAAGGUUUUCGUGAAAGCGCUUUGGGAUACGUCUCAAGUACGCUCAUAUUCUUCUCUUGUGAUUAAUUUAUUUAGUAUAUUUAUUUGGAUAUGAAUAAUAUGUUGUUUUUUCUUAGACUUGAUCACCUUUAUUUUCUUUGACAUUCUUGAUUUAUUGAUUAAUCAUCAUGGUUCUCUCAACCUAGUUAGAAGAGACCUGUUAUUUUUAGGGCUCGGAGGGAUGCUAUCUUUAUGGUACAUUCCCAAUAGAUAACAUGAUCUUCGUGCUUAGAGUUGCGUUUUCAAAUACACGUUUUUCUAGAAACUAUGAGUCAUUUUUUUAGGGUUUUAUUUCUAAUUUUAUUUUUCCUUUUAAAAAUAAAUAAAAAUAAGUAGUGACUCCAAUUUUAUAAAAAUUAUUUUUUCACUAAGAAAUCGAGUCUCGCUGUUGAAUAGUGAUGCACGUGAAAAAUGCAAGUCCACAUUAACGUUUCAUAAUUUUUAGUUCAUUCAUUUUAAAGUUUCUAGUAUUUUAUUUUAAGAUUUUAAUCAUGGCUAACUAAGUUUCUAAGUACCAUAAGGGGAGUAAAAUUAAUAUCCAUCCAUAUUUUACUUCAAUCUUCCAAUGUUUUCAAUAGUCUACAAUGUUUGAGGUUGUUACAACAAAUGUUAAGGUUACGUGUCAUAUUAUGUAAUGGUUAACUCCACAUAUGUCAAGGUUUCUAAGUACAUGUGUCAAGGUUUAUAGGUACAUAUGUGAAAGUUUCUAGCUACUACAAAUGGCAUAAAUCAUUUGUCAAGGUUGCCUGUGAAAAAUUUAAUAUAUUUUACUAUAAUUUUUAGUUUUUAAUGAAAAAAAAAAUUGUUUCCAAAGUAUACCUAUUUAAUUGUGAUAAUAACAAUUAAAUCUUAAAACAAUGUAAAUAAACUAAUAUCAAGGCAAAAAAAUCAUUAUAUAUACAUUUGAAUAUUAAAAAUACAAUUCCAUAAAUCUUUUUCCAAUUAUUCUCUAUUUUCUAUAUAUCAACAAAACCUAAUUAAAAACAUACAAUUAGGAUAAUAUACAAACUUAAAUUGAAAAGUACAAUAUUAUCUUCAUAAGAGGUGGUUUUUGUUUCUUCAUCAUCAUCUUCUUCUUGCUAUAUUUCUUGGAUACCUAGUAGGAUAUAAACAUAACUAUGGAUCCCGCAUUUUGCACGAUGCGUUCCCACUCGAUGGCAAACUCGCUUUUUAUUUGAAAAAUGAUUUAUUUAUUAAGAAAAUGACUUGGAGUCACCACUUAUUUUUGUUUUAUUUUUAAAAGGUAAACAAAAUAAGAAAAAAAAAACCCUAAGUGUGACUCCUUAUUUGGAAAAAGUGGUUUGCGAAAAACCAAAUCGGGGCUCGAGAGUCAGGUUACUUAUUGGGAAGGUACGGUAAAGACCGUAGCACCCCUCUAAGUCCCUAAAAAUGGGUCUCUACUAAUAAAAUGAAGCAUGUUUGAUAAUUGGUUGAUUAAAUGUGGAUACCAAAAGAUGAUCAUAUACUAGGAGCCAAAACAAAGCGUAGAGAAUGGUCAGAGUGAGAGCGGGUGCUUACCUUGGUAGCAAGCGAAUAAUGCGCUAUCAUGAAAUGGGGUUAGUGCACAAGAAUGAACGUAAAAUAUAUCACAUGCAUCACCAAACAGAAUAUGAAAUCACCUAUGGCACACAUGACAUUUCACUCAAGUUCAUUUUUAUUUUAAGUAAAACUUCUUUGAUGUUGGGCUUCCCACCAAAGCCCAAUUUAUCUUGCAUGAAUUGGUCUAACAAAUUUCAUUAUUUCAGAAUUAUGAAAAAUUCAUUCUUACUUAUGUAAAAUCAAGAAAAACAUAAGGUUAUUUAAAAACCAGAGUAGAAUUAAAACUGUUAGAGAGAAAACUGGAUUUUUGAAAAUUAUUUGAAAAUUGGAAUCUUGGGAAUUAAAUUUUAGAAUUGGAAUUUUGGAAAUUAAAUUUGAAAGAAAUUGAAAAUUUUAAAAUUAUUUGAGCAUUAGAGUUUUGAAAAUUAAACUAAGGCAUUGGAACUUUAGAAAUUAAACUUGAGAGAAAUUAGCAAAUUAUUUGAGAAUUAGAGUUUCGAAAAUUAAAUUUAAGAAUUGGAAUUUUGGAGAUUAAAUUGGAAAGAAAUUAGAAUUUUGAAAAUUAUUUGAGAAGUAGAAACUAUGAAAAUUAAAUUAUAAAAAUUGGAAUCUUGGAAAUUAUUUGAAGGUGAAAUUUUUAAAAAUAAAUAAAUAUAAUGAUAAUAAUAAUAAGAAUAAUAAUAAUAAUAAUAAUAAUAAUAAAUAAAUAAAUAAAUGUUCGGAAUUUUGAAAAUUUGUUUAAGGAUUGAAUUUUUAAAAUAAAUAAAUAAAUAAAUAAAAUAAUAAUAAUAACGAAAAUAAUAAUUAAAUAAAUGAACGCGAAUAUUGGAAUUUUUGAAAUUGAAAAUUAAAUUCGAAAAUCGAAAUUUUGAAAAUUUGUUUAAGGAUGAAAUUUUAAAAUAAAUAAAUAAAGUAAUAAUGAUAACGGAAAUAAAAGUGUUGAAACAAAUAAAUGUAAUAAUUGGAAUCUUUGGAAAUUAAUUUGGGAUAUCGAAAAAUUUGAGGGAAUAAUAAAUAAAAUAAUGAAAUGGAUAAAAUAAAAAAAAGUGCAGUGGUCAACAUUGCAAGCCUGAAGGUGGCUAUGCAACGUGUGGGCCGGGAUGGAAUAUCUUAUAAUAUAAUAAUAAUAAUAAUAAAACAAUCUCAACCUUACAUAUUUUAAUACUGUUUAUACGUAAAAUUUCAUCACCACUAUGCAACAAUAAAUCUUAAAAUAACAAAGUUAGUGAACUUUGGAAAAUCUUAUAACAUAAUAGUAAUAAUAAUAAUAAUAAUAUAAUAAAAGACAAUCACACACCUCAAAGAAUUGGUAAUGAUUUAUCAAUUUAAGGAUGGUUGUGCCUGAGGCUAGCGAGAACAUAUGACUGCUUCUCUUGUGUGUGUUGGAGAUGCCUCAAAGUGGGUGCCACUAAGAGUUGACCGUCUAACCUGUAUUUCAUUACAUGAGCAUGAAGGGAUUUACCAUACCAGUAGAGUCCUCACAACAGGGAAUAAUGGACACAAAAGUGACCACAUUUGGCUGCAUAUUGGCUUGGAGCAUUUACUGGAACAUUUUAAAGGCUUCACUAGACUUCUGAUUCUGACCGUAGGUAGGGAUCAUAGAGUUCCAGAUAACAACAUUCUUUUCUGCUGUAGAAUCAAACAAGUCUCCAGCAAUAAACAAAUUCCCACCACCAGCAUACAUUGAAAUUAAAGCAGGUGCCAAAAAUUCAUCCGAAGAAAAUCCAGAUUUUACAACGAAGCCAUGGAUAGACUUCCCAAUAUCAAGACAUUUCAUUCGAGUGCACAACGGAAUUAUGCUGGCAAAAGUGCUCACAUUGGGUUUCAAACCCAUCACAUGAAUUUAACUCAAAACCUCAAAGGCCUCUUUAUCAAACCCAUUCAAAGAAUAACGAGAUAUUAAAGCAUUCCAGUCACCAAGUAUGGUUGAGAAAUCUUAUCAAGCGUCAAACGUGCCUUCACCAUGCGACUAGUGUUUUUUUUUUUUUUUUUUGCGUAAAAAUCAACUAAAGCAAUUUGUAUAACAAGAUUUUCUUCAAACCCAGUUCUCAAAACAACACAAUGAACCCAUUCCGCACCUAGACCACCAGAAUCAGCAGUCUGAAGCUCGGGAAGCUGUUUUCAGGUAAAGACUUGCUUGGCUCUCCCGCUCCACUUUCUUGCUCUUCAUUUUUCUCUCAAUCUCCUUCAUGCUCUACUUUCGCUCCCCGAAAAAUUCCAUCCAGAAAACUCCUCCCUCAGUUUUUCCUUCUUCCUAAUCCCAAAAAAAUCGCCAACCAACUCUGUUUCCUCUGUUUCUCCUCUUCUCCAAAAAAUCUCUCUGGUGGACCGUUCUCCCCCUCCUUGUUUGGUCUGUCUCUUUUUUUUUCUUUUUCCCAUGUCCCCUGUUCUAGCCAUCCCUUCUGUUCCAAGACAUCCCUCUCAUCUCCUAGCUGUAUUUUUAUCUCCCCAGCUCUCUGUUUUCUCUCCCAAAAUCCCCAUCCGUAAAGCUCCCCCCAGCUGGUUUCUGAGUUUUUCCUCCUCCCUCACAGCUCCUCCUACAGCUCUAGAAAUAUCUCAUCAUUUCUGUCCAACUACUCUACUGUUCCAUGUUCAGCCAAAGGUCUCCAUCCCAACCACCAUUGUUGAGGCCUUACGACGCUGGUGAUCCACGUAGUUGCCCAAUGGAUGGACGCACGAUCUCAACUAAUACAAGUUUUUGAUUCAGUAGUUCCACCUGCAAAAGGCGUCCGGACGGGGUGUCCGGACGCACCUUCUGAUGGUUUUGUUAGUCAUCGUCAGAGAGAGGGAAAUAAAUCAGUUGGCCUUUUACUAGGUACAGCCAACUUACCUUGUCUUUGUUUGUGAAGGCUUUAUAUAUAUAGUUCCAGAAGCACUGUUCCCCUCAUUAAUGGUGGGAAGAUAUUUUGUGUUGUCAUGAUGACACUAGGAGGUGGCAGGGCCAUCAUCACCCUACGGGCGGUUGAUAGAGAUCGUGGUAUGUGAUGCGGCUGUCAGAGAUCGUGGUAGAUGAUCAUGUGAAAUGAUCGUGGGAAGUGACUUGUUGUCACUUCAUCUUGUCCUCUCAUUCUGCAGAUGGCAAGAUGUGGGUCAUGGCAGGCUGUUGUGAUAACGUGUAAGACUUGCUUUACUUCAGUCAAUGACCCGGACAUCAUAUCCGGAUGACCUAUGUUGGUCAUUCAGAUGCAUUGUGAAAGUCGUUCGGAUGUCUAUGUUUAUAAGUGUCGUUUGAACUUCCUUGAGGCAAUCCGGAUAUGAGGGGCGCAUCACGUGUAUCCAGAUGAGGUGAUCCGGAUGGUGUUUAGCCAGAUGAGAAUGUGCAUCACGCGUCAUCAGGAGAUAUGUGCCACGUGUUAUCAGGGGGAGGGGUCCCUACAAUGUCUCCCUUUUUAACUUGCUCAUUUUGCGUGAGCAAAAAAUGGGCGGGUUAAAAAUAAUUGGUUUUUUUUUUAAACUGAGUUUACUUUUUACGCUCAUUGGGCCUCGUGGCGUGCGGGGGCGAAGAGAGAGAGAGGCAUUUAUGACCAGCCGUCGUCUCUGUGUAUUCCCAGGCAGCAUGUCGUUUCAAUGAUAGCGUAGCUGAUCGUUUGGUAUACCGAGGGGCUGUCUCCCUAUAAGUAGUAUACUGUGCCCACUGUUGCAUUUUUCCUACUGCGUUUUUUCUGAGAUUACUGCUUCUUCUUACUUCUAUGUUCUCCUUUGUUUUCCUGAGUGAAGCCUUAGAAUUUUUCUGCUAGUGAUUUUUGCGUUGCGACGGUGACUGUGGUGCAGUUGUCGACCUUUUCUUCUAGUUUUUGCUUGGUACGUGCAUUGUUCUUGCUUUUCCUGGUUGCGCUUUGGUUUUGUUGGUUUGUCUGGGCAAGAGCCUUUGGGACUGGGUGUUUUGACAGUGUUUUUAGGGUUUUGGUUGCCCCCCUGCGUGUUUGUAGUUUUGACUGUUGGUUUUCUUCUAUGUAGAUUCCAUUUCAGUCUCAGGCUAGAAAAUGUCUUCAAACAAGAAAGUUGCUUCGUCUGGCCCGGUCGGCGAUGCUUCUGAGAAAUCUACAGAUAAACUGAGUGUGAAGGAGUUCCGGGACCGUUUCUGUAUCCCAAAUGGCGUGUUUGUGAAAUUUCUGGAUGAAGAGGAGGUCGUGUCUACUGAGAAAGCCGAAGGCCGUGCCAUCACCUUCUUUUAACAAGAUCCCACCUGCAUUUUACCAAGAUCCCACCAGUCUUCAUCCAUCCUAAUACAGUCCGGGUGCUGAUGGGAUGCAGCAUUUUAAACAUGCUGUUCAAUCUCGACCUAUCGCUACUGGAGGUUCUCUUUGUUUAUUCCCUAAAAAAGGGAAAAAAUGAUAUCUUCAGUAUGGCUGCCCAUUUGCCCUCGCUCCAGUUGGUGACUGAGUUGCCAGAUUCAACGAAAUGAGGGGCGAAGGGAUAUGUGGUGGUCAGGGGUGCCUGGGCGGGUCUAUUGCAGCAUCCGGAUAGGCCUUUUUCUCCAAACUACUCAUUGAAGCUUCCGGGUACGUCAGCUUUACGGGUUUUGUCCGGCAUUUAUCUUUGUUGUCCUUCUUGCUGGUUUUGUCGGGACUUAUCUUCGGUUUGUUGAUAAUGCAGGUUCGAACAAGAGGGGUCACGUUGUUGAGUGGGUAGAAAAAGCGUCGUUUGUUCGGUUGAACAAGUUGUUCAAGAUUACUGCCGUCGAGAGGCAGUAUGUGACGCUACUCAUUGCGUAGAACCUAAUGGUCGUUAUCCGGGAGUCCCGUGAGUACAUUAUCAAUAUUCUCCCUAGGAAGCUGCCAAAGAAGGUAGUGCCUAGGGAGCAUUAUAUUCUGAAGGAUCUCCCUUUCUAUAAGGAGGUACAACAGGCGGAUGCUGAGAAACGCCGAGCGCUCCUUGACGAUCGGGAGAAAAGGAAAAAUGAGGGAACCCUGCGGAGGGCCCCAGGGAAAAAACGGUCCGCAUCCUCUCCUCCUGCUGGCGCUCCAACGAAGAAGAAAAAGAAGACUUCAAAUAAGGGGAAGGAAGUGGAAAUCCUCUCUCCUCCGGAGGAGGUUGUAAUUCCUCCUUCAACCUACGUGAAGGAGGUAACAAUAAAGGAGCCGAAAAAUCCCGUCCCUGUUUCUGUUUCAAGCGGACCCGGACAUCUUGCGGGUCUGAACCACUCGGUCCCUCGAUGUCGGCAGCUGGCUGUUUGGCCCUGGUGGUAGAAGAAGCUACAUCAAUAAACCAACCUAGCUCUUCUCACCCGGAUGAAGAUGCGACGGAGGCUUCUUGUGCGGCCGUGCCGCCUCCUAUGGCAACCCUGAUGGAGGAAAUGGGGGCAGAAAACCCGGGUUUGCCAUCCUGCGAGCCAAGCCCUCUUGCCCUUGUACCGGUGAAGGGGUCAGCCUCAAAGAGACCGAGUUCAGCGCGGAACUUGAAGUCCGGGCUCCUCGGGCGGCUUCAAGAUCGAUUCCAAGAGAUUGAAGUCAGUUGCUCGUCCGCCCAAGACGCUCAUCCAGAGGGGAGCGAGACGGAAAUAGCAACUGAGACCCCAUCCAUCCCAGUAGUGGUUCCGGAUGAGGGCACGCCCGAAGAGACUCAGCCGGCUGCAAAUGAGGGGGCCCCGACUCCGGAGGAGGAGUCACCUUCCCAUGCUUCAUCCAAGGACAGUCCUGUUGAUGAUGCGGCUUGCAUCUCUGUUGACUCUUUUAGUUACGCAGAGUUGGAAGAGAAGGUGAAACGGAUUCCACCCGGCUUGAAUGUCGUCAUGCCUUCAGCAAAAAUGUUCGAAGUGGUGGAAUCGAUAAAGUGUACUUUCUUGAUUUUUUAUCAUGCUGAUGUGUUUGUGACAUGAUUUCUAAUUUCGCUUUUCUUGCUUGUGUGUUUUGUUUGCAGCUGGUGAGUGGUCUUCGUGGCAUGGUUCAACAACACGAUCUAUUUACUGACCUGCUGCGAACCACUGAUUAUAUGAAGGCCUUUGCGUCUCAGCGUAAAAAUAGUGAAGACCAGUUGCGCUUGAGAUUGGAGGAGGCCGAAGCCAGUCUAUCCGUCGCUUAUGGGGACAACGAGGCUCUCCGGGCGAACUUAGCUGAGGCAAAGAGCCGAGAGGAUUCGAUGGAGGCCUGUUUGCAUGAGGCGGAGGAUGAGGUGGCUCUUCUGAGGGGGGAGGUGAAGCACCUCCGGACGGAAGUUUCAAUUAAAAAGAAGCAGAGCGAAGAUCUGCAGCUGCGCUUAUCAGCGCAAAAAGAAGAGCUAGAGGGCAAGUUUACUACAGAGAGGGAGGAACUUGAAGCGGACUAUCAAAAGCAAGUGGACGAUAUGUUCUUCUUCGGCUAUCGCUGCUAUAUGAAGAAAAACGGUAUUAAACGUGAUGUCCCUUCAAUUCCUCCGGGUGAAGAGAAGAAUCUACUCGACAAGUCUACUCCCUGACAGUUUUUUCUUUUUGUAAUCUUUGCUGCUAUCUUCUUUCUGUAACUUUUGUAGUCCGGAGACCUCCUUGUACAUACUUCACCAAUAUCAAUAAAACAUACAUUUUUUGACAUUUGCACUUAUUUUUUUCUUCUAUUGAUAAUACUGCUUUAAAUUCGACACAUUCCAUGGUCUGAGUAAUGGAGUUCCGUCUAGCUUUUGUAGAUGAUAAGCGCCAUUUUCUCUUGACUUAGAUACUACAUAGGGUCCUUUCCAGUUUGCUUAAAAUUUUCCUGCGCCCGCUUCUGCAGUAUUUUCAAAAACUUUUCUAAGGACUAGUGUACCAUUUUUUAAGCUUUUGGGCCUUACUUUGCGAUUGUAAUGAGCGAAGGCCCUUUGCUGAUAGUCUGCCAUCCGGAUGGCUGCGCUCUCCCUUACUUCAUCUGCCCAAUCCAAGUUUCUUCCUAACUCCGCGUCUGCAUCAUCCUGUUUCGCUGCCUCAGUCCGGAUAGUGGGUAGCCCAAUUUCGAUAGGAAUGACUGCGUCCAUACCGUAUGCGAGGGCGAAGGGAGUGUUUCCUGUUGGUCGUCCGGGUGUGGUUCGAUAAGCCCACAGGACGCCGGGCAACUCUUCGACCCACCUUCCUUUGGCUUGUUCGAGUCUUUUCUUUAAGGCAUUGAUCAGGGUUUUGUUUGUUGCUUAUGCUUGCCCAUUACUUUGAGGAUAACGUAGUGUGGAGUAAGAAUUCCGGAUGUUCAGUUCCGAACAGAAAUUCCGGAAGGCGAUGCUAUCAAACUGUGGACCAUUGUCAGCUAUAAUGGUUUGAGGGAUUCCAAAGCGGCAGAUGAUGUUUUUCCAUACGAAUCUGGUGACGUCUUUGUCUUUGAUGCUAGCAUAUGCUUCAGCUUCCACCCAUUUACUGAAGUAAUCCGUAGCAACAAGUAGGAAUUUCUUCUGCGCGGGUGCGGCUGGGAGAGGUCCUAUUAUGUCCAUGCCCCACUGCGCGAAGGGCCAUGGACUUGAUACUGGUUUCAGUGUUUCUGAUGGCAUAUGUGGAAUGGGGGCGUACCUUUGACAUUUGUCACAUUUUUUGACGUAGGCUGCUGCAUCCUUCUUCAUUGUGGACCAAUAAUAUCCUUGCGAAUGAGCCCUAUGCGCCAGAGACCGUCCUCCUGAAUGAUUUCCGCAUAUUCCCUCAUGCAACUCAGCUAAUACAUAAAGGGUCUCUGAAUGGCUUAGGCACCGAAGAUAGGGGCCUGUGAAAGAGCAUUUGUAUAAGUGCCCCCCAAUCAGAGUGAAACGGGCGGCUUGCACCCGGAUCUUGUGUGCUUGUUUGGGAUCUUCGGGCAAAGUGCCUAUCCGGAGGUAUUGUGCAAUGUUGUUUGUCCAUUCUUGGCCGUCUGGUUGACUUGCCUCAAUGGCGCUGCAAGUGGAGGUUUCUGCGACGGAAGAGUUGGCUUGCACAUGUAUAGGCAAAAAUAUGGUUUCUUUGAUGGGGAGGGAGGCAGCUAUGCCUGCCAAGGCGUCUGCGCGUCCAUUUUCAGUUCGUCUGAUUUUUUCGAUCGUCCACUCGGUGAAUCGUUGUAAGGUAUCUUUUACCUUAGCUAGGUAUCGCGCUAUGCGCUCAUCUUUGGUUUCGUAUUCCUUCUGAACAUGUCUGACCACCAGUUGAGAAUCGCUAUAGAUCCGGAGCUUAGAGACAGAUAGAGCCAAGGCGAGAUCUAAUCCGGAUAGGAUGGCUUCAUACUCCGCUUCAUUGUUUGAGGCGGGAAAUCCCAUCCGGAUGGCUUGUUCCAGAUGUUCCCCGGUUGGUGAUUGCAGCAGGAGUCCUACACCGGAUCCGGAUGAUCGUGAGGCUCCAUCGACCCACAAAGUCCACCACUCUUUUUCAUUCUAUUUCUGGCUUUGUCUGGGCCUUCGGGAAUACUCCAGCACGAAGUCAGCCAUUACUUGGCCUUUCAUGGACAAUCUGGGUUGGAAUUCGAUUCCAAACUCCCUCAAUUCGAUAGCCCAUUGCAACAUUCUUCCGGUUAAGUCUGGCUUGUGCAGAAUGUUGCUAAGGGGCUGAUCGGUCAGCACGACCAUCGGGUGGGCUUGGAAAUAGGGGCGGAGCUUCUGGGCAGCGCUACGAAGGGCUAAGGUUGUUAGCUCCAUUUUUGAGUACCAGGUUUCUACGUCUGCCAAUGCUCUACUGACGUAGUAGAUGGGUCUCUGCUCCUUAGGUGAGGGGGAGCGAAAUAAAACAGCACUGACUGCCCACUCUGAUACAACUAGAUACAUGUACAAUUUUUCUUUUGGGAUGGGGUUGCUCAGGAUGGGCGGCUGCAUAAAACAGUGUUUAAUCCUUUCAAAAGCGUUUUGACAGUUGUCCGUCCAACCGUUUGUUCCAGUUUUUCGUAUUGCCAAGAAGAAGGGUCGCAAUUCCUCAGUGAAGCGGGCUAUAAAGCGCCCUAGCGCGACAAGUUUGCCUGUGAGGCGCUGCAACUCCUUCUUGUUCCUGGGUGGUGGUGUUUCUAUGACUGCCUUGACUUGAUCCGGGCUAACCUCUAUCCCUCUUUGGCUGACCAUAAAACCCAGAAAUUUGCUAGCACUUACGCCAAAUGCGCAUUUGGAAGGAUUCAACUUCAUGCCAUAUUUCCUCAAAAGGUGAAAAACCUCUUGUAAGUGGAGAACAUGCUCCUCUCGGGUUUUGCUUUUAACCACGAUGUCAUCAAUAUACACCUCCACUGUGUGACCUAUCAGAGGUUUGAAGAUUUUUGUCAUCAGUCUCUGAUAAGUGGCGCUAGCGUUUUUGAGUCCAAAAGGCAUGACUUUGUAGCAAUAGAGGCCAUUUGGUGUUAUGAAUGCUGUUUUCUCCUCGUCAUCUGGGGACAUGGGAAUCUGGUGAUAUCCGGAGAAGGCAUCCAAGAAAGAGAGCAUUCCUUGCUCGGCAGUGGAAUCCACGAUUUGAUCUAUUCGUGGCAAAGGGAAACUGUCUUUUGGGCAUGCAUUGUUGAGAUUAGUGUAAUCUACACAAACCCGCCAUUUUCCUUCUUUUUUGGGUACCACCACUACGUUGGCUAACCAAUCCGGAUAUUCUACUUCUCUGAUGAAUCCGGCUUCUAGCAAUUUGUCAAUCUCAUUUUGGAUGACUUUUUGUCUAUCCGGGUGAAAGUGUCUAAUCUUCUGUCGGACGGGUCUGGUAAUUUGAAAGACGUUAAGCUUUUGAGAUGUAAUAGAGGAAUGAAUUCCCUUUAUAUCAGCAUGCGCCCAUGCGAAGAUAUCAUGGUUUGGUCUGAGGGCGUUUUGCAUACUGUGGGUCUCUUCUGGUGUCAUGAGGGAGCUGAUGUUUGUGAGAUGAGUACUUUCCUCCGAAAUUUGGAUUGUUUGUAAGGGAUUUGCUGCCGGGGAAUCUUUGUCCGCAGGGCCCAAUAAUUGCUAUCGGUCAUGCGGAUUGCUGGGCCCAAGGAGGGAUGCAUCCUCCUGGCUGGUCCCUGCUUCUCGUGCUAUCUGGUAGCAUUGGCAAGCGGCUAAUUGGUUGCCAUAUAAGUCUAUUUGCCCAUCGUUGGUGAGGAAACUCACCAUUUGAUGAUAUGUAAAGGGGAUAGCUUUCAUGUAAUGUAGCCAUGUGCGCCCUAAGAUGAUAUUGAAGGGUGAUAACUCUUGUACCACCGAGAAUUGUACGUUGAGAGUGACUGGGCCUGCUUGGACCGGCAGUACAAUGUCUCCCAAAGACGUAGUUGAUGACCCGUUGAAUCCGGACAGGAUUCGUCCGGGGUUUUCAAGGCCUGCGAGACUGUGUCCCAUGUGGCUAACGACCGAUGCUUGUACAAGAUCGACGGAGCUGCCUGGGUCAACCAAGAUGUGUCUCACAUCGAAGUUUCCUAUCUCUAGGGACAAGAUGAGGGCGUCGCGAUGUGGCUGCAAUGUCCGGGUAGGGUCAACUAGUGGGAAAAUGAUUGUCCCAUCUAUGGGGCGAGGGCCCCCUCUAGUUAACCUAGGCUGGAUGGAGUUGAUACGUUCGCGUACCGACGCGGCUCGCAACAAUCUCUGCCUUUUUCGCCUAGAGUCGUACUCUUCGUCAGAUGGGCCUCCGUUAAUGUAGUUUAUAACGGCCUUGGUAGUGGCUGGGGCUCUGGGGGCUCCAGAGUUGGGAUUUUGGGGAACGUCUCUUCCCCCAGCAUCCGAGCGGAGGUAUUGCUUUAAAUGUCCCGCCUUAAUGAGCUUUUCGACCAAAAAAUGGAGGCACCUGCAUGUCUCUGUUGUGUGACCAUGAUCUUUGUGGAAGGCGCAUCUUUUGUUAUGAUCUCUUGUGGAUGGGUCCGUUCCAAUGGGUCUAGGCCACUUGAAGUCGGAUAAACCCUGGAUCAUCGGGAGAAGUUUCUCAUAUGAUAUGGAAAGAGGUGUGAGAGGCGGCCUUUCCGGGAGACUUGGCCCUUCCUGCCUUCUGUCAGACAGCCUUGGCCGGUCCGGAAGUUUAGCAUUUAUUUUUGUGCCACCUCUAGAUGCCUGUCCGGCAACCAAGACUUGCUGGGUGGCUGCCCGUACGUCAUCUUCGACCAUCGAAUAUUUGUUUGCACGUCUGAACAAUUCGUCCAUCGUUGUAUGAGGUUUUUUGGCUAGUGAUUCAAAAAAUGAAGUGCCUGGACAGAUGCUUCGCUUGAAGAUCGGUAGGACAGCAUCCAUGCUGCAAGCCUCUACCUGGAGUACGGCCUGACCAAAUCGCUUCACAAACUCCCUUAAGGAUUCGUUAUCUUGCAUUUUUAUGUUUUGUAGAGUGCUGAUGUUCUACUUAUGUCGAGCGGAGCAUAAGUAUUCUCCCACAAAAGCUUCGGAUAGGUCCCUGAAGUUGCCAACAGAGUUGGGAGGUAGGCGAUGAAACCAUGAGAGGGUCUGCCCUUGUAGGUUGGCGGGAAAUACUUUGCACAGCAGUGCAUCGUUGCAUAUAUCGAGAGUCUUAAGCUGUCGAUAAUGCAUGAUAUGAUCGAAGGGAUCGUUAGACCCAUCGUAUGUGGAAAAUUUUGGUACGAGGAAUCCCCUUGGGGGCUCGUAAUGGGUGAUGUGAGAGCAGAAAGGCGUGGAGAGCAUGUCGUUCAGCCUUUUGCUGAUGGAACCAAUUGGUGGCUCGCUUGGGAGGUUUCUCCCAGCUUGUUGUACCGCUAGGUGCAAGUGAACGUUCCGCAUCAUGGGGGUGACCAUGGGGUCACGAUGCGGAUGCACGUUCUGCACCAUGGGGGUGAUCAUAGGGUCAGGGCGUAGUGCCCAGGUCGUGGCUACUGGUGGCCUUGAUCUCCUAGGCUCUUGUGGACCUAGUCUUGCGCGCAUUGAAUUUGACAACUGAGAUUUUCUGUCACGUUGUCUUUUUGCUGAGAAAUGAGUAGAGUCUGAGUUUUCCUCACGGGGAGCUCGAGGCAUGGGCGUGUGUGGCUCAUGAGGCCUCACGUUGCAUGCUCCUGGGAUAGCUCCUGCUGUUCCAGGAUAUAUAGACUCUAGCACUGGCCUUGAGUUUGCUACUUGGCCUCUUGAACGCUGACGACGAGGAGGCUCUGAUGUUGAAGCUUGGAUGCGUAAUACAGCGUUUUCCUCUCUUAGUCUUUCUGUCUCUUGGAGGAGAGCUUUCAGUUGUCGUUCGCUUGCUAACUGUCUCCUUUCGAUGGCUUGACGCCAUUCAAAAUUAUCCUCCUCUCGCCUACCAGAUGAACGGCUUCGAGAAGGUGCGGCCAUCUUUGCUGGCGAUUGAAUCAAAUGAAAAAAUUUUCCCACAGACGGCGCCAAUGUUGAGGCCUUACGACGCUGGUGAUCCACGUAGUUGCCCAAUGGAUGGACGCACGAUCUCAACUAAUACAAGUUUUUGAUUCAGUAGUUCCACCUGCAAAAGGCGUCCGGACGGGGUGUCCGGACGCACCUUCUGAUGGUUUUGUUAGCCAUCGUCAGAGAGAGGGAAAUAAAUCAGUUGGCCUUUUACUAGGUACAGCCAGCUUACCUUGUCUUUGUUUGUGAAGGCUUUAUAUAUAUAGUUCCAGAAGCACUGUUCCCCUCAUUAAUGGUGGGGAGAUAUUUUGUAAUGUCAUGAUGACACUAGGAGGUGGCAAGGUUAUCAUCACCCUACGGGCGGUUGACAGAGAUCGUGGUAGGUGAUGCGGCUGUCAGAGAUCGUGGUAGAUGAUCAUGUGAAAUGAUCAUGGAAAGUGACUUGUUGUCACUUCAUCUUGUCCUCUCAUUCUGCAGAUGGCAAGAUGUGGGCCAUGGCAGGCUGUUGUGAUAACGUGUAAGACUUGCUUUACUUCAGUCAAUGACCCGGACAUCAUAUCUGGAUGACCUAUGUUGGUCAUUCAGAUGCAUUGUGAAAGUCGUUCGGAUGUCUAUGUUUAUAAGUGUCGUUUGAACUUCCUUGAGGCAAUCCGAAUAUGAGGGGCGCAUCACGUGUAUCCGGAUGAGGUGAUCCGGAUGGUGUUUAGCCAGAUGAGAAUGUGCGCCACGCGUCAUCAGGAGAUGUGUGCCACGUGUUAUCAAGGGGAGGGGUCCCUACAACCAUCAUGGCAAGGUGGUGGUGUCCUUGGCCAUGCAUCCCAUGCAGCUUGGCUCCUCCGAAAACCUGCCCCCCACUCCAAAAACAAGCCGCCAGCUCUUCCCGGGUUUGAGAAAAAACCCAUGGUCCAAGAGGGGUCUACAAUAACAUUAAUAGAAAAGUAAGCAAAAAUUACCGAAAUAGCAAAUUCAUCAAAAGAGGAAGUAAGAACAAAAAAAUUGUAGUGUUAAAACCAAUGCUUUUAAGUUCAGCAAAAGAAGAAGUAUGAAUAAAAUAGAAAAGAAAUAUCCAUACCUAUGCUACUUGAAAAAAAAUUUUUAAAAAAAAAAUGUAGCAUUAAAAUCUAUGCUUGUAAUGCUAACUCUUUAAAGUUUAAACUAACUUCUAUGUAAAAGCUUAAUAUUACAACUCUAACAAGAGAAAUGAACAAUUUUAUCCCAUAAUAGUUCAACCAAUGCACUAACCAAAUUUUCAUUUUUAUUUUUCAUGGAAGGAGUAAGCACAUAAGGAUCAAACAUUAUUUUGUUGAAGGGUUAGUGAAAUAUGGGAAAUUUAUUGUUAAGUUGUGUAAGACACACAACUAGAUUGCAUAUAAGGAAAAAAAGAUUGAAAAAUAGAGAAAAAAAAUAGCUUGGGAAUUUUGUCUAUCUAAGAAAUGCCUAUGCUUUGGAAUUACAACUUAGAAAGUUAUAUUGAUUUAUAUAUGUACAAUUUAAGCUUGAUAAAAUAAUGAACAAAAGAAGGCUGAAGGUUUUUCUCUUUGUAAUUUCUUCCCUUGACUGUUUUAUCAACUCAUCAUACUUUCCAACAAUAUUGUAUUCUAGAAAAGUGGCCUAGUCUUUCAUAUGACGCUUUUGUCGAAAACAUAGGGGACACAUUUUAUGAUACUAAUUAAGGACUUAUACCUUAAGAGGUUUUUCUCUUCUCGAAUAAGUGUUGCUUUCGCAUAUUAAGCUACCCAUUGCAAUAAGCAUCUAAGCCCUAGCUAACUUCAAGCAUUCCCAUUGUAAUGUGACUUGAUUAAAUUAAGGGUGUGGUUUGUUUGGCAACAAGAGGUAUCAAAGUCAUCAUGUUAUUAAGAAGACACCUUUCUAGAAUUAUUCGCUUAUUCAGCCUAUUUUGGGCGUAGAAUUUCACUUAUAUAGGUUGUUGGUUGCAUUUGAGGCCUUCCCAACCAAAAUGAAAUAUAAUUUUUUUUUUUUAAAAAAAAAAAUUAGUUAAGAAAAAUUGAGGUACUCAAUUUUUUAUCUUUAGCCUUUAAGAGUGAAGAAAUGUAAAAACGUUUUUAAAUUAAAAGGAAAUCAAUUUAAAAUAUUUAAUAUAACUUUUUAUAGAAAAAUAGAAUUUAUAUUUUAUUUUAUAUAAAUUAAAAACUUAAAAAUUCCAACCAAGCAAAAAGUUAUAUCUAUGGUAAUGUUAGAACCACAUUCAAUGAUUUUGGUUUUAAAUAAAAAAAACAAAAACUAUUAUCAAUGAGUAUGAUUUUGAUAUAAAAAAAUAUAUAUUUUAUUGAAUUAUGAAUAGCCUAGUUUUUAAGGGGUAUUUUAGGUAUUCUACGUAGUAAUUUGUUCUCAUUUUCAAUUAACAUAAAAAAUUAUUAAGGAGACCGUUUUUUAAAUAGAGACGUGUGAAAACAGAAGAGUGGUGGGAGGCCUAACAUCACAUUGUAUUUUCUGUUUUAUCAUAGUAUAAAUUCUAUAAUAACAAAAUGAACAUAAACCUCUCAUUGAGAAGGUGAACAAAGAGAUAAAACAAACAACCGACAAAGGUAGCAGGUGAAAUAUGAUAUAAUAAUUGGUACAUGGAAACUUGAUUUGAUUUUCAUCUUAAAUUUUUACUCGGAUGGUUAGGUACCAUUUAUCCAACUUUUGGCGAGAUUCAGAUCCCAGCCGGCCGUGAAAGGGUCAGGCCGGGGGCUCAAGCUAAGCUUAGAUGUGACUCGUGAGCUGGCCUCGAACUAGUAAAAAAUAGGAAAAGAUAACAUUCGGGGUAUACCUUGAACUUUAACAUGGACCAUAAGCUUCAGCUAGUUCUGCCAUCUUUUUCUUUUUGUCAACAAAAAAGCACUUAAUCAGAGUAGAUACCAUCCCAAUCAUCUCAUCUUAGAGGAUCACAGAUUCAACUUUAUAUUGAAACAUUUUCAUAUAUACAGUGUGAUUUUAACAUUGAAGCCACUGUGCCGAACCCAUUUUUCUUUAGUUCUUGCCUUUUCCAGCUACAGCUAUACGAAAUUCCAAAUGUAAUAUAGAGGUUUACAGUUCCAAAAAUUACAAUAAAGAGUGGAAAAAUAUUUCUAUAGAAACCAGUAUCAGCACUAAAGAAUAUAAAAGUAAUGCUAUGACUUAGAAGGGCCAGCACCCAUUGAUGAACUCCUCACUGCAACCUUGACCGCACCAACCGUGCUACGCUGCCUCAUCUCAGGGCUCAGCCCUUGAGCAUCCUGGUAACCACAACCUUCUUCCAUCUGAACCCACACCGAGUAUGCUAUCUGAACACCCACAAACAUAAUACAGGGAAUGAGUGCAUAUAAAAACCUAGAUAAUACCGGUUUCAAUGAAAUUAUACUCUUAAAAUCAUUUGGUCUUUGCAGUUGAAAUGAAACUGCUAUUAGAUCUGUUUGCUUCAUCAACUUGACAAGAAGAAAGAGAAUCUAAUAAUCAUCAGUCUUUCUAAAAAAAGCAAAAUCUUCAAAGUUUGCAUCAGCAAUGAUAUGUGUAGUCUUAUUAUAGACCCAGUCCCAUUAUAAAAAAAGCAAAAUGCAACUACUUGCAUGGUUUCCGAACCCCCCAAGUUACCACUUAUUUUUUUGGAACAAACAAACAAACAUUCAUAAAUGAGGAAGAGCUGCAUGAGCAAUUCCGAUCUCUCUAAUUCAGAACAAAGAACAAAUCAUUUUGUUGAAAUUCAAUUCAAUCAAAUAUCUAAUAUCCGUCAUUUUCUAAACAAAGUGGGGUAAUUCAACAGUGAAACUACAAUAUGACAUUAAUAUCCUCAAGAUGCUUACAUGGAUUGAUUAAACCACACAAAUUUCAAUGGAAUUACCAGUGGUUAAUACAGACUACUCUGAACCAAUGGCUGGCUGGUGCUGCAGGCCAGAUCAUGACUACCAAGCCCAAGGUGAAUCAUUAAAGUUCUAAAGGGGUUGAUAUCAGAAUUUAUACAUAAUAUUACUUGCCUCACUUCCAUAUUUUCAUGCAAUUUUUAUUACUGUCUCAACUAUAAUUGGCUUAUAACAUCUAUCCAUGGUACAAAAGAAUCAGCAGGACUUGAUGAUAACUGGAUACCCUAGAAAAGGUAAAGCCAGGAUCAUUUAAUAAUCUUAAGCAAGCAGUAUGCCUAACCUGAGCAAUUCUACAAUUUGCUUGGAUUUCAUUCAGGCAAAUUGCCUCCAUGCAUUUAUUACUAGUUAUAUUCAUAACAUAUAGUGCAACACUUUCAUUAAGCAGUUUCAAUAAACAAUGUCGAUAGCACUACACAAAAUGUAAGGAACUGGUUCACUGAAAGGCGAGCAGGACAAAAUCCACAUAAUAAGUGCAAUCUCCAUAUAUGAACUUAAAAUCGGUUAUAAAUGACAUUCCUACUAAGGACUUGGAAAGAGUUCAACUCUUCAGAAUUACUAUUUCUCAAAGUCAAAGCAUAGUUGAGAGUUGAGACCAACUUAAGCCUUAGCAUAAGAUUCACAACACACACCAGAUCAUUAUUCAAAGAGGGGUUUUGUACCACCAUUUGUCUGGGAAAAAUGAAAAAGAAGAAAAAGAACCAAAUUUCACUGACACAGCCCUGACCCAUGGAGAUGGCUUAAACAACUCUCAUUACUUUAGGAUUAUGUUGGUUCCCGGAAAGGUUGGAGUUAAAAAAGGGAAAAAGAAAAUAGUGAGGAAAAUCAUAUGGAAAUAAAGGGUAAGGAAAAUUUAUACAAAGUUUUCUCUUGUUUGGAUAUCGAUGGAAAAUUUGAAGGAAAGAAAAUUAAAUUGUUUAAAAAUGUGCUUUCCCCUAGCUUUCUUCACAUUUAUUUAAGGAACAUCUUUAUCAUUUUCCAUCUACAUUUUUCAUAGUAUCCAAAUAUAAGAAAAUCAUUUUUCUUUGCAUUUGUUUUUCCUCUCCUUAGUACUUUCCAAGAAACAAGAAUAACCUAGGUUAUUUUUUUUAGGUAUUUUGUUGCUUUAGGUUUCUUAUUAUUUUUAUGUUUCAACAAUAACUACAAUUAUUUUCCUUUUAUUUCUACAAUUUUGAAUUCUAUCAUCACGAUUGUUAGGCUUAGGGGAGACAGGUGUUAUAAUUUAUUAAUAAAAACUAGCCUUUCAGAAUUUGAGAAUUCUAUAAAAAAAAUUCUCUUCCUACAGGUUUCUAGGAAUUCUCUUGAAUCAACAAGACUUUCAAUGCCUAAUUCUUGCUAUUCUCUUAAGAAAAUCAACAAGUUCUGGAAGAUGACACCUUUAGUCAUUGCCAGCUUGUUUCUACACACCCAAUGUGUCAAGUUAUAUUCGAGGCAAAACACCUGCUGUGUCAAGUGGUAUCAAGCUGAAAACCUAGAUCAAGGUCACGUAUUAGCAGAAAGGCAACUGUAGUUCGAAUAGUUUUGUAAAUUGGGAUUCUAUGCCAAUCUAUGAUGAAUACCCUGAAGAUGGUGAUAAUGUUUAUAGUGCCACAAACGAAUCUUUUUACAUUUCAAAAAUCUUAUGAUAAAGACUACAAUGAUGCUUCUGCUACAAGGAUGUAACUAGCUCAAUGCCCUGGACAAAGUUGCAUAACCCAACAAAUCAUGAUAAAUACUUAUGCUACAAUCAAUAUUGUUCCUAUUGCCAAUAGAAGGAGAAUAACUCUCAUAUGAGAGGACAAAGAGAUGAAGUGUGGGAAAAAAUGGCUUGUAAUUGUGGACUGUCAUGUAAAUUUUAGGACAAAUUCUUUUCAACCUAGAGGACUGAUACAUGCAUGAAGAUUGUUUCAGCACAAUUUUUUUCCUUUUCUUUUCCCUAGAAUUAAGUCAAUAAAUACAUUAUGUUGACUCAAGGAAGAUUAUUAUUAAUUAAAUAAAAGAUUAAUUUUUCUUUGAAUUUGAGACUUCUAUCAAUUCUUUCUUGUUCCUAUUAUUCUUAGUAUUCUUUUAAAUCAAUAAGACUUUAGAUGCCUACUUCUUGGUAUUUUCUCUACAUUCUAGAAGAUGACACUUUUUGCAAUUGCCCAACCUUGUUUCUAUAGGCCCAAUGCCUCGAGUAGUAUCAAAGGCAAAAUGCUUGCUGCACAUUCAUUCAUCCAAUUGUUCAUUCAAUGAAUUGGCACUAAAUCCCUCUUCAAUGCAGUGUGACAAGUUGUGACAGGCAACAGGUUGUAUAUUGUGAUGGUGCAGGAAAAUAGCUCCAGAGAAGCCACACCCAUAUAGAAGAUGCAAGCUUUCCUACACCUGUACAAUGCUCAUGGAAGAUCUCUUGCAGCAUUGGCACUGAUCAUUUCAUGAAUGCCUAUAAAAACUACUUUCCCUGUUUGAAUGGUUGAUUAUUGAAAAUUCCAUAACUAGUGGCUCCAGCGUCUAGUUCAUCAGUCAAGCAAUGCAGGGCUACUGGGAUUCCUUUUUGCCAAAAAAAUACAUGUAGCUUAGAUGAUGUUGGUAGAAAAGAGAUAUAUGAUUAGAUAUGAACUUAUUAGGCAAAAAAUAUGGGUAGCAAGAUAUCGGUUGAGAUUGAUUAUAUUUAGAGAAGCCCAAUUGCUUCGUAGGUAUGCCUCCCAUUUUGAUAAGGUAGCAAGCGGCAACAUCCCCAUUUUAGAGGGGCUAGGUAUAGUGGAUGCGAAGUUUGAAUUUAUGUGGUGUCAAUGUGGGAGUGCAAGUGACAUUGUAGUACCUCUAACCAGAGAGAGAAAGAGUUAAAAAGUUCUCACUUGAAUCACAUAUUGGUCUGUAAUUAAGCUAAAAGAGCAGAAUUUUGCCAACCCAGUACAUGGGACAAGGCGAUACAGAAGAAAUCAUAUGACCAUUCUGUCCUUUCCCCUAUCUUCUUCAGCAAUAAUGGAUCUACAAUAUCUUAUGGAAAUAUGCCAAGAAAACCUUGGUACAUGAAAACCAAACCAAAGAUCACGUUCAUGGGUUUAAUCCACCUUAUAAGAUCUAACUGAAGGAUCAAAGACACUAUUGAUACCUUUGAUCUUAUCCAAAAAAUCAACCAGCUAAUAGAAGACAAUUUUAUUUGUUGUAAAAUACUGGGAUUUUUAAUUCUUGCCUCAAUGCAAUAGAUUCAGUUCCUUCCUCACACAUGAAUUCUAUGGAAGUUAAGGCACAUAAUGAUACCUUGCCAGAGGCAUUCCGAACAGGAGAUAUGUGAAGAAGAUUCCAAAACGAACUCCUAUCCUUCCUGAGAAAGGAGCAGAAAAACAUGGUUUAAAUCUGAAGAAACUGCAGUUCAUCUAAAAUACGUUGGAAAGCAUAGUCAAGUAUCAACCUGUAAUUUAAGAUACGUACUGUGCAUGCUUGCUCAGUUUGGAUGCUUUCCUUUACCUGCGGAAAAAUAGCAGUAGAUGUAAUUAUCAGGGAAAAUCCAUUCCACUAAUUUGUUACAAAAUUACAAGGCAAAGAUUCAAUAGUUAAAAUUUAAAAAGCAUAAACCUGCAAUAGAGUUGAUGGAUCCGUAUCCACACCACUCAAAAACAUACACUGGCAUCCCAACACUUCAUGUCUAGCAUAUCCUAUUAAAAUAGAAAUAAGGAUUAGUAAGAAGCUUGAUUGUUUAAUAUAUCAUAAUAUCCAAGGUCCAGAUCUUUCUAGCUCAAACUAUGAAAUUUCCUACAAAGGGCUAGGACAAAUCAAUGUGUGUAUAGCUCUAUAAAGCUUUGAGCACCUGUCAAUUUUAAGAAGGCAUCACUUGCAUAAACGAUUGGCAUCUCAGGUAAAUGGGGAUCAGUCCUGCAAGAGCAACACAUAUAUGUUGUGGGAUGCAUAAGGCGAAGACAUUAACCAUCUUCAAACACUAUAUUGACAUCUAUGGUAAAAGAAAUUUAGGAAUUGUAAAAACUCACAAUACAAAGCUUUGUUUGAUUCUACCAAGAGAUAUAAUUAAGGAAGCACCAAGGAGGCCAAUUCCAGAUAAGGUGCAUCUCUUUUCGCAGACCAAUUUGCCAGUUAACUCACUAUAGUGUGUUAGCAAAGACAAGAUAUUGUUAACAGCGGCUGCAGCCCUUCUCUUCUCUUGAUCACUUGCUUCCCGAGGCUCUUCAUCGUCUACCAUAAAAGACAAAGGCAAUGCAUAAGAACCCAACUAAAACCAAAAUGAUAAGCUAUACAAAUGAAAAUCGGAAUAAAGCAAAACUAGAAAACUAAAGCAACAAUUAAGUAGACUGGAAAUGCAGAUGUCAGCAUUAAGAACUGCAAAACGACAGUUAAACAAGCAACAUGGUAAAAAUGAAUUGCAUAAGUAAAAAAAAUAGAAAAUAAACAAGACCGAUGCAAUAUAUAGAUUGCUAAACAUAAAUUUAAAUGACCAAACAGUGUUUAAAAAAUGAAAAAAAACACACACACAAUCAAUGAUGAAACACAAACAGUCAAUCAAGUAAAGAAACAGGUUUUGAGUACCCAAUCAUGAGGCAAAUGACACAACAAAACCUUGGUUGAAUUGAGGUAUAUAAGCUAGCCCAACCUAGAACCUAGAAAGAAGGCAAAAUUCAAUUACACAAUCAUGAGAGAUUAAAAAUAAAAAGUAAGCUGAAACAAAAUUCAAGCCUCAAAGUUAGAAAAUUAUCAACCAAAAUCCAUUAGAAGCAUUUGGCAAUAUCUAACAACCACAGAAAUAGAGUGAACUAACUAUGGAAAGAAUUUCCAUCAAAGAGACAGGCAAUUAAGAACUGCAAUCAAUAUAGCAAAGAGAAGAAUGAUAUGAUGCCACAUGAUGAAUAUAAUCACAUCAAAAGGAUCAACAACUAAGCUUGAAUCAUCAUAAAACAUCGAAGAAACAGAGUCAUUAUUAGUUUGAAGAGUAUCUAAGAUGCAAAAUGGGAUACAGACCUCUGUUAUCUGAAUCAAACAGCGACUCGAAAGCCAAAACAUGCUCCAGCUCCAACACUGAAUCCGAGCACACCUCCCUCCUACAAGACCCGAAUACAAUAUCACGUGACCUACACCCGUCCUCGCAUACUCCAUCUCUUCCAGGCCCGCUUCCGGACCACCUUGGCUUCCUUGACAUUGGCACUUGAACUGCAACAAAGUGUAUCACCCUGCCAUCUUCCUUACUAAAAACAGGACUCAUGUGAAAUAACAUCCAAAUGGGGGUUCCAUCUUUACGAUAAUUCAAUAAAAUAGUUUGAAUUGUCCUCUCUUCUUGAAUUGCCUCCUGAAUUUCGGUUAUCGAUCUCCUACUAGUCCCUGGUCCCUGAAAUGCCCUACCAUUCUUCCCAAUCACCUCCUCUUUCGAAUAUCCCGACAUUUUCAAGAAUCCCCGGCUGGCAAAAACAAUUGGGUGCCCUGAAAUUGAAGGAUCAGUGAUAGUGAAAUUAUCAGGCAAUUCAUCGAGCGCUUCUCGCACCCAAACCGAGUACCGGUAAUUAAAAGACUGUUCAAUCAGAGCCAAUUGUGAUUCCAUGGUUUUUCUUCCUCCUGUUGUUGUGUUCUCGGAUUAAACCCGAACCUCAAUCCCAUGUGGCGCGUUGAGCGCGUGUGCUUCUCCUCUAGAAAUGACUUUGAAAUAAAUAUUAACAGCCCCACCAGGAAAAGAAAAUUUGAAUCAAAACAGAAGAAUCAUGAACAGAGCACCUACGAAUUAACUAAAUAUCAUCUUCCCAAAUUUCCAAGAGUCUCAGUGAAGGGUACGAGAAACAAGAGCAAAUAAAUUGAAAAUUUGAUGAAAACAAAGGAAACUUACAUGGAAGAACUACAGCCUACACCCAAGUGAGUGAGCUACACGAUGAAGAACAAGAUCGAUCCAUCUCGUACAUAUAACAAAAUAUCUCCCGCAGAAUCUUUCUUUCCAAUGAACAAUAACGAAAUACAAACACCAAUCAAUCGUUUUCUUGUUUCCCAAAUGACUCAGAAAAAAAAUGAAAGAAUACCCAAAAAAGAGAGAAAAUGGAGAGAAAAGAAGAAGAAAAAAAAAAAGCAACAACAGCGAUCUCUUAAAGAAUUGGAAGACCACGCAGGCAUGCAGAGUCACAUAAAUUAAGGAUUUUUAUUAAUUUUCGUGACUGUUAAUUAGUCUAUUCGAGUUGAAAACAAUGCGAUUUGCCCAUCUGUCUCUCUUGAUUAAGAGAGAGGGGGGGAGAAGGGGAUAAUAAAACCAAGCUUUUCUUUUCUUUUCCUUUUUUCGGUUUUCUGUAUAUUGUUUUAUAUUUAUCUCCACAUGCAUGAAGGCUGGUGUUUGGGGCUGCGGAAAAUUGGAGAACUCGUGUCCUCCAUACCCCUCACUGCUGGGUCCCAUAAUCUCAUCAAUCUUGGUUGGAUUCUUGGAGGUUUUUAAAGGAUAUUUAGCUUUGAAUUCUGUUGAACACUGUCACUGUUAUUAGGAUAAGAACUACACCCAAACCCAAUACUCAAAAAUGAUUUCAACAACUAUAUCAUUUCUUCUUUCUUGUUUAUUUGACAAACCAACGAGACUCUACUCAUUUUCCUUGUAGAUGAAGCUUGAAAGGGCAUAAGAAAAAAGAGAGAAAAAAGUUUGGGGUGUUUUUUUCUCCGUGUUCAUUGUACCCUACCAUUUUUCCAUUCAUAGCAGUGCACAUUACAUUCUGUCACCCAAUGUUAACACAAGUGAUUAAGAUAUUAAAGUAAUGUUUGAUGUGGACAUAUACUUUUGUGUGGAGGGGAUGAAACUUCUUCCAUAUUUCAGAAUUAUUAACUUAUGUGGUAUUUACUUUUGAUCUAAUCACAGACUUAAUUCUGUGACAUAAAAGUACAGUUCUCUGUACAAGAAACAUAAACAAAUAAAGGGAUGAGACGCUGUGAUGGAUUAGGACUUUGCCUUACCUUCAUGAUCCAAGAGGGUUAUUGGAUAGCCUCUUAUGUGGGCCCAGAUGAAAUCAAUAAUUGAGUAAAGGGAAAAAUGGGAAGCCACCCCAAGUGUGGUGAGGAGCAGUGGGCGUAGGAGAACAUGUGAUAGAGAUGAGAAGUCAAUAAGAUCGAUGGCCGAGAAGCUUUCAAAAGAACCGCCAGUGGUUUGGCAUGUUUGGCGACAGGCGUAUCCACUCUGGUUCUUAUCCAUCCAUGUCAUCUUGACGUUAAUAGCCGGUGGCGUUUUUUGUUUCCUUCUUUAACUGAGGGCGGCCGCAACCAAUUUGCAUUAACGACGACGAAUUCAUGCGAUUAUACGUGUACAUACACUUUCUUUUUGAAAUUUUCAUGUUAGAUACGUAUUAGGAUUUUAGUCAUACUUACAUAAAUAUACUUAAAGAGUAAAAAUGUAGCGAUACCAACUCUCCCCUGUUUAAUAUGGGAUAUCAGAAAACAUCUCUACGCCACAUCAUCAUUGUGACCCUUUUUAAAAUGCAUCUUUAAAAAUAACAUCAGAAGUUUUUUUCCUUUAUCCAAUAGGACGUCAUAAAAGAUUUUAUAUAAAUAAGUAAAAAAUUAGAAAUAAACAUUAAAUAUAAUUAGCUAUAAAUUUUAAAAUUACUUAAAUAAAGUAUACAAUUUCAUGGGUCAUAAGUAAGAAUCGUAAUUUGUGUGGAUCGGGUCCAAAUUUAAUUUGACUUUUGAAUGAAUUUAAAUAAUCAUUGUUAAUAGUUGUGAAAGUUUUUUUAAUCCAAAUUCAAUUUAGGUUGAAUUGAGUUAAGGUUAAGAUUUAUAUAACUUGAAUCUACUUGAAUUCGAUUUAAUAUUUCUGUAAUAUUUGUAAUUAAUAUAUAUUGUAUAAUAAUAUUCAUUUUUAUUAUUUUUUUUAGAUUUUUGAGUAAAAAUUUCAAAUUAGAAUUAUAUUAUAUACUUGUUUCAUUUUUCUAUAAAUAUAUUCAAAUUUUUUUAUUUUUUUUAUUUUCUACAUGUAUUUUAAAUCAUAUAAUCAAACCAACUCAAGCUUAAUCCAAUUAAUAAAAGUUUAGUUAAAGUUUAAAAAUUGAGUUUGAAUUAAGUAUUUUGGAUUGAGAUUAGAUUGGGUUCAAAUGGUAAAUUUCUUAAUUUGAAUUGAGGCCAAACUAGCCGCCAAUUUCCAAAAUCUUUGUUAGUGAUCUAUUUUGAAUUUUUAAAAAAAUUUAUUUAUCAUUUGACACUUGAUCCUAAAUGUUAUGCUUGGUUCCGAAAAUUUGAGGAAAAUGCUGAAAAAAAUAAAUAAAGAAAGAAAAAAAAGUGAGAAAUAUAUAUAUAUAUAUAUAUAUAUAUAAACAUUUAAAGUUAAAUUAUUUUUAUAUAUUACUUUAAAUUCAUUUUACUUAUUUUAGUUUUUUAAUAUAAAAAUUCAUAUAUUUUUAAUUAAUUUUAAUUAUAUUAUACUUUUUUGAUAUUUUUAUAGUACAAUCAAAUAUUAAAAAAAUUAUUUUUUUUAGUAUUUUUUCUUUUCUUUUCUUAAUACUUUUAGACAACCAAACAUAACCUAAGUUUUGAAAAUGAAUAUUAAUUCUAGGUGGUUUAUAUAGAAAGAGUGUAUUUUUCAAGUGCUACUAUAGCAAGUUAAACCAUUUGUGAUCCCUACUUUCAUUCUUUUUAUUAUGAAUUUUUAAUGUGUGUUGUUGUUUGAUGACGAUAAUUGUUUUUUAUCGUAAAAAAUUAGAGUUAUCACUUAUUUUAAUAGAAAAUUUUCUAAACCUUACUGUUUAUUUAAUAAUAAAAAAAUAGAUAUGUUUUAUUUGAAAGUAAAUUUUUUGUACUUUUUAUUUAAAAAAAAUUAUGGAUAUAUUUUAGUUUAUUAAAAGCAUUUAUGAACAACUUUAUUAAAUAUAAAUAUAGAAAGAAAAUAGAAACAAUACAAUGAAAACAAAUAAAUUAAACUAAAAAAACUGACAAGAAAUUGAACAUGAAAAUAAAACAAAUAAAUGACAAGAAACAAAAAUGAGAAGAAGAAAGAAAGUGUACCCAAUACACAGUGGGUGAAAUAAAAUCUCAUAGUUGAGUUCUCUUCUACUUCAAAUAAUAAAGAAAAGAGAGCCACUAAAAUCCUCCUCCCAAAGAUGAGUUGUCUACCAACUCAUACGAGCCGUCCAAAUCCCUUUGCUAGUGCCUUAGGGGUUGGUGCCCUUAUAUAAGUUACCAGCUUGCUUUCUAUUAGGAAAUCCAACCCUCCACAUGUUGGACAUCUAGAGCUUAGCAAAAAAGAAUCCAAUUGCAAUAGAAUUGACUCAUGCACAAAUCAAAGUAGGCCCAAAUCAAAGUAGGCCCAAAAGAAGGCAAGUAACAAGCCUAAAUUAAAUAAUUGCAAGCCCAUUAAAAUAACCCCAAAGAUGAAAUAAUGAGGCUUCAACCCAAACAAAUAAGCCCAACAAGAAUAUCAUCAAUCCAAAAUCAUAAUAAGGUCUAAACUCAGUUAAAUAAACCCAAAACAAAUUCCAAUAUCAAAACCAAAACAGAAUAUCUACAAUCCUAAGUCUGAUACCUAUAAACAUAAACUCAAAUAAAAAACCACAAUAAAAAAUCAGAUUACACAAACGAUCAUUAUGGAAAUAAAAAAUGCACCUUACCUGAACUUAAAAAACCCAUGGCUAGAAAGUGGCAAGGGAUGAUGCGAUUGUGCAUGGUGAUACUGGGUUGUGUGUGGAAUGGUAGUGGAGGUAAGGAAAAGAAAAUGGGAUGAGAGAGAAAAGGAAAAAAAUUGGGGAAAUGAGAGAAAGAGAGAGAGAAUGGAGUGGUUGGUUGUGGCAUGUUGCCAGUGAGUGACUGGUAGUUAUCGGAACUACUGCUGACAAUGGUAAGGUGUGGUCCCGAUGGUGCUGGAUAGGUGGAAAUGGGUAUGGGGAAAAAAAAAAGAGUGGUUGUGAAAGGGAUGGAAGGGAGAAAUAAAUAUAUGAAUAAGUGGUCGUGAAUGGUUAUGGGUUAAUGGGGGAAAAUGAAAGAAAAGAUAUUUGAGAAAAGGAAGAAGGGGGGUAGAAAAAGUGGGUUGUAGGUUAGGGGCUGUAAGAAGUGGGUUGUAAAGCCGUUUUUUUUUUUUGGUGGUCUACACAAUGUCUAAUUGAAAUCAUGGAAAAAAAAAUCCUUGAGUAUAAAUAAACAGGAAGGAAAAAUGAAUCACUCCAUGAUUACCAAUUUUUAGUCUUGGUUUCUUAUAUGGAAAAAAAUCUCUAAAAAAAUAAUAAAUAAAUAAAAUAAAAAUAGGGGAUAUGUCUCUAAAAUGACCCAACUAGUAGUUUAGGAAAAUCCUUCUUCUCCGUAGUAGCACUUGGAGAGUCAAAUUCAACAUCAACAUAAAUAGUUUAAACAAUAGUUUAAUCAAUGAAGAGCUUAGUAGAGAAAAUGAAGUGUUGCAAUCAUGCUUGAGGAUUAGAUGAGCUAUUUCAUCAAUGUCUUCACUAUUGCCAUAUUAGGGAAUCUUUUCUUAAUAGAAAUGUUCAUUGUUAGUAACAAAAAAAAAAAAAAAAAAAAAAAGGUCCGUCCUAAUGGAACUACGAAAUCUCACUGAAGAAGGGAUCAUUAGUGCUACAACUUGACAAAAAGCAAAGGUAUACACUAUAAAAGGAAAAUCAAUAUUGCAACUUGUCAACAAGAUUGUAGAAUUUUGAGCAUAAAAUUUCCUUUGUGCUUCAUUCCCCCUAAAUAUUAGGCACAUGAUAAGAGAAGAGAUCUUGAUCCUAUCAAUCUUAAUAUUAUUUAGAAUAUAGUCAAAACAAAUAUCAAAUUAAAAUAAAUUAACUUAGUAGCACUAAUUUUUCAACUAUCCCAAAUUUUACUUGAUGUUUCAAACUAAUAAUACUGUUUGGGCUACACUUUCCUCCAAUAGUCAAACAACACUCCAAUGUAUUUUAGCUACCUACAAAUAGGAAUUGAUUUACAACCCAAUGACCCUCUUUGAUGGUAAAAUCAGUAAUCUCUUCCUAGCUUAUUUUUCAAGGAGAGUCUUAUUUAGAGAAGAGUAUGUGUACUUAUUUUCUCUCCCUAGGUUUCUUUAUAGGCCUUUUGUUUUCCCUUUAUGAUUGGGGUCUUUCAACAAAACCAACCUUAGCCAUCCACUUGCCCUAAUUGUUAUAAAGUAAGGGUUGGUGAGUUUAGCAUAUGUCGCAAUAGUUCUUUUCUUCCUUAAUGUCCAUCAAGGUAGUAGGAGUAAUUUUGAUCUGACAUCAGGCAUUGUUAUAUAGUAUGACUCACUCUAUCUUGUUGUCGUACUUGUUAGCACGUACUCAUCCAAACAUCAUGUUUGUCCCCUAUGUCUAUUAGGGUGCUAUGUUUUACUUGAGGGCUUUCCCGAUUAUACAUAGCUUUUAUAACUACUUUUAUCGUUUGACCUCAACUAUGUCUAAAGGUGGGAGCGAGCAAGAAAUCAAGUCGUAUGACAAGAAAUUUUAGCAUUCAAAAUCGGGAGUCUAAUAUGAUAACAACGUGUGGCAUGCUGAAUCAUGAGCCACCUUUUUUAAAGGUUUCACAUUUUUCGAAGUUGUCUUCUCUUCUUCCCAUGUCACUUCAAUCAUUUUAGGUAAGUGUGCCCCCUUCAUUUCUCAAUGCAACUAUUAUAGGUAUACAAGGCCAUUCUCUGUUCCAUUCUUCACUUUUGCCUACUAAGAUCCCUAUUGCCUCUAUGGUUCUUCCGUUUUCCUUGUUUUACUAUUACAAGCCUGAUGAUAUCAUGGGUUCCUCAUUGUCUAUAACAUCGAAAAGCCUUGCCGAAAAAGGCAUGCCAAUUUCUUAGGUCAGUAUUUCUUGAAAAUUUCUUUUAUUGUUAAGUGUCACUUUUAAUUUUCCAUCAGCUUGUAGUUAUGGGAAUCUCUAAGGAGGCCCCUUAAUUUAAAGGAGCUUAAGUUUCCCAUAGUUGGGAAAAGAGUGGAGUUAGGUUUUAUAACUUAUGCAAAAUAGACUAGCCAACUUUAAGGCCAAUAUUAACAUAUAACCUUGUAUGUUACACUAGUUUAGGGCUAAACUUAAUUAAGACUUUGCCACUCCUCAAUCAGAUGGAAAGGCAGGGUAGCAUAUCAACAAGUGAGAGGGCCUUCUAGUGCACAAUAGAUAAUCCACAAUAGAGGGGUUGCCCAUUAGCCAAUACGGAUUUUGAUUAGGUUAUCUAUUUUGAACAACAUGGGUGUUCAUUUAACUAGUGACUUCAUAGCUCAAUCCAUGGCUAGGGACUCUAUAAACACCAUUGUUAAAAAAAAUAGGUUAAUCCAACCUAUGGUAAUCACCUUAGAGGAGGGGGGAGGGGGGGAGGUGAAAAGGGUGAUGAUCUCUUUUUGCAAAUUUAAACUAUGUGAAUGUAAGAGACAAAUAUAUGCAAGUAUAUAAUAAAACAAUAUAAAGGCAAUUGCAUAUAAAGUAAAAGAGUAAGGAAAAGAGAAUGUAAACACAAGAUUUUAUAGUGGUUCAACGCAACCCGGUUUACAUACACUUUCCUCUAGCUUCAAUCCCAAGCUUGAGAUUUCACUGAUUCAAGGCUUCCAAACCAAGCCUUCAAGUAAUACAAUUAGAUUAUGGUUCCAAUCCACCUUCUUGAAUUUUUGGCUCCAAGCACCCUUUACAAUCCUCAAGAGAUACCCCACUCUUGAACAUCCUCUUAAGUGAUACCCCACACUUGAGAAUCUUACUCUCAAAGAUAUACAAAUAAUUGAUAUCACAAAAUCCUAAUACAAAAACUUUAAGUUCAAAUGAUACAAGAAAACUAGGAUUGAGAGGUGUACUAAUGAUAUGCAAGUUUUAGAAUAAUGAUGCACUCAAAACACUCUUCCAAGGCUCACAUAUAUUCAAGAAUGUUUGGAAAGGUUGAGCUCAUAAACAAUGAAGAUUUAGAGCCUUUUUAUAGAGGAAAAAAGUCAAACUAGCUGUUGGGGGUUCGACUGGUUGACUAGUCGUUAGCAUUUAAUGUUUGGAAGGUGAUUGUUGGACCUCAAUCGGACCUUGACCAGACCUUGACCGAUUGAGGUGUAGGUCGACCGAUUCCUUAUUUGGUUAAACAACCAUUCUGGAGGAGAGAGAAGGUUUUUUGCACCCUUCAAUUGGUUGAGCUGACGAUCGACUAGUUACUGUUCACACCCUUAACCAGUUGAACUGGGGGUCGACCUGCUUCUAGACCGAUUGAGCUGGUGAUUGACUGGUUCCUCAUCCGAUUCAACCGGUUGAGCCGUUUUUGGCUCAACAACUAACUUUUUCAACUUAUUAAAACCUUUUAAACAAGUUUGAAAAACAUUUGACACAAGGUUUUAGUUGAAAACAUGAAAUCAUCUAAUUUUAAAAUAUUUAAAACAAAAUAACUCUUUGAUGAUUUUGGUGCAUAAGUAAAGAAUGUAAUGCGUGAAAAUCCUAAUGCACCAACAACCUUACAAAGAAAUCUUAUGAAACUUGGGUCUUGAAAAACACUUCUCUUUGAGGUGGUCUUCUUCAUGAUUUCUCCUUGACUUGAUUUGUCUUUGUGAUUGCCACUUUGGAAAUCAUCUUGCUUAAUCAUACUUGAAAUAUAAUCAUUAGUUUUAAACCUUAUUUUGUUAUCAUCACAACCAAGAUUAAUCAAACCUUGGUUUCACGACCAUGUAUUUCACAAAGAAACAAUUUAAUGUCAAACUCUAAUUGUCAUUACCUUCACUAGUGCAAUAGUUUCAAUUCUAUUCCUACAUCUCUCAGUCUAUGUGCACCUGAACAUAAUAUGAAUCUUGAUGAGUUGCAACAUGCUAAACCACCUAUACCAACUUGGCCCUUUUAAGGUUUAGUCCAUAUAUAUAGUCAAACUAAACUAAAGUGACAAAUUCCUAUUUUUUAUGCACACUCACUCACUUCAAUUGAUAGUAGAAUUUCUUGAUUCUAGUAAGGGGUAGGCAAAGGAGAAUUUUAUUAUGUCUAGAUUCUAGGAGUGUUCAAAGGGAAAUCCUUAAGCAUAAUUUAAUCUAAAUCACACUCUAAACUUUCCAAGUACACCCUACACAUUUACUUUUGUGAUGUUUCUACCACUUCUAACUUUUAAUGUUGCCCAUUUGUGUUUUGUAGGUAAAAAGAAGUGGGAUCAACUAGUUGAGUAGUUAGAGAAAGCCUCUUGGGAACACCUAAGUUGUCUUUACAUUGCUAACUUAGUGUAGAGAAGACACUUUGUUGUUCUUCAAAAGUAAUUUAAGGGAAGUGUUGAUGUAACAUCCCCGAAUAUUUGAUUCUUAGGGAGCAUAUUUGACUUACUACUAUGAGGUUGCUUGAAUGAUGGAUGUUGAAACCCAACAAGCAUUGAUUUCUAAGUAAAAGAGAAAAGAAGGGUACCCCUUCAUCAGAUCCAUACUUAAAAGGUCAACUCUAGCCACCUAAAUUCACCUCGUUUACUUUUUGCAUCUUUUUCUUCUUUAGGUUCCACCUUUAAAUGCCUAAGAAUAGGCAGGAAUGGUGACACUAACAUUUUUGUACCCAAUGGGUUGAUAGUGCACUUAAAGUAGGCAAAAGAGAAAGAUGAUAUGUCUAUCAAUCUAUAUGUGGGUUUUUGCGAAAAGCUCAAGAAAAUAGUGGUUGAAGAGGGUUAACCCAGUUCUUAACAACCACUUGAAAAGAGAAAGAAAUCUAAGAAUGACUAGGCUUAGGUCUUGGACUCUAGGAGUAGAGAAACACCUAAGUCUCAUGGGAGAGGAGCUAGGAGCAUCGAAAGCUCCGACCCUUACCCUUUUUGUUGGGCUGGGUAAGACAAUGCAAGUGAACUCACUUCACUCUAUUUCCACCUCCAUCUUUGUUCCUUGAUUGAGGCCUUAGUUGAUUUACUCACCUAAAAUGGUCCAACCCCUACCAAAGAGAAGUUGGCUAUGAUUUUGGAUGAGUUUUCUUUCUUUAUUAGUGAUGACGUUCCUUUAUGAGGCUUAAAGGAUUUGUUUCUUCCUCAACAAAGUGUAUAGGUAAAGGUGUUUAACCACCCCAAGUUGAACUUUGUGGCCAAAAUCCCAAUUGGUACCCUCAUCCAAGUGGUGCAACUUGUUAUGGCAAUAAAGGGCCCAAAUUGACAAUGAUUAUAUCACUGAAGUAAUACUAUUCCUGCCCCCUAUACCUUAAUUUGAGCUAGCUUACUAUUAUGCACUAACAUCAUACAUACAUACAUACAUACAUAUAUAUAUAUAUAUAUAUCAUGAGCUAGAAGCGACUAAUUGCUUGAGGACCCAUGUGGCUCACUUAGUGAAAAUGCAUAAGAAGCUUGAAGUCGAGUUCAAGGCAACUUAAGGGCAAACUACUAAGCUACAAAGACAAAUGGACUCAACAUAUAGCGAAAAUCAUCCAAGCCCACGAUCAACUCCAAUUCAAAUGUGAUCAUCUCUGGAACAAGCACAAACUUCUCAUUUUUGAUUGAAAGAAGGUGGUUGAUGAGUGUAGUUGACUAAGUACGAUGCUUAUGUAAGCCAAGGUGGACCUUGACUCUUUAAGACAAGACUUGGUAGCAGACUUCCAAUGCUAAGUAAACAAUAUGUAUUUGUAUGGCUAUUGGCAAUACAUGAGAAGCACAAAAUAUUAGAAAAUGUGGAGUUGAAAGACAAUAGUCCUUCUACUGUUUAUAAUUUUUGCAAAAAAAACCGAUCAUAUAAGUUGUUCUUCUAUUUUCAGAAAGUCAUCCUAUGUUUCAUCUACUUCUAAAUUCGUGGUUUCCAAAGAAAAUAAAAACUAACCCUCAAGAACUUAAGAAGGUAUGGGUACUUAAAACAAUUUGAUUGUAUUGUAGGUACAAAUGAAAGACACAUAAUUUCUAAAUCGUGGAUACUUAAAGCAUAUGACCGGAGAUCCUUUUGCAAGUCUCAUAUUAAAGAAGAGUAUAUUUGUGACCUUUGGAGACAAUACAAAAGGAAAGGUCAAUAGACAUGGAAUUAUUGGUAAUGACACUUCUUCCUUGAUUGAAAUGUUCUAUUAGUUAAUGAUGUGAAGCAUUAUCUUUUAAGUAUUAGUCAACUUUGUGACGAGGGAUUUCAAGUGAUUUUUGAACCAUCUUAUUGCAUUAUCAAGGAUAUUCAAAAUGGUAAAACUAUUUUCAUGGGUCAUAGAAAUGAAAAAUGUUUAAAUAGUUGAUAUUAAAAAAUACAAUGGUCAUGAAAAAUGUUUUGCUUUCAUGCAUGAUCAAAGUUGAUUGUGAUAUAGAAGGUUGGGUCAUGCUAACAUGAACCUUAUUAGACAACUCAACAAAUAUGAACUUGUUAGAGGUCUUUCCAAAAUCAUUUUUGAAAAAAAUAAUAAUAUUUGUAAUGAAUGACAAAUGGGAAGGUAAUUUAAAGACUCUUUCAAAAGCAAAAAUAUUAAUAUCACAACUUCAAGACUUUUGGAACUUCUUCAUAUGGACCUAUUUGGUCCUUGGUCUUAAAGGAAAAUAUUAUGCUUAUAUAAUUGUAGAUGACUUCUCUAGAUUUUCUUGGCUUAUAUUUUUAGCCAUAAAAAUGAAGCUUCUUUAUAUUGUCCAUAUUUUAUACAAGGUUCAAAAUGAAAAAAAAAAAGGUUUUAUCAUUACUUGUAUUAGAAGUAAUCAUGGUUGAGAAUUUGAAAUUUUAUGAUUUUGAAACCUUUUGUAAUAAGCAUGGAAUUGAGCAUGAAUUUUCAUUACCUAGAACUCCUCAACAAAAUGGAGUAGUUGAAGGAAUGAAAUUUUACAAAAAAAAAAAAAUGGUAAAAACCAAUUUAAAUGAGAAUAAUUUACUGAAAUAUUUUUAGGUUGAGGUAGUUAACACCACAUAUUAUGUUCUAAAUAGAGUCUUAAUGUGGAUGAUUUUAAAGAAAUGAGCUUUGGAAAAACAAAAACCCUAACAUUGGUUACUUUAAAGUCUUUGGCAUAGUUGUAAAAUAUGUGCCUAGGCUCCAGGCAAUGUGACGCCAUGCUCCGAUGCCUCACCUAACUCUAGGUGCCACCUUUUUACGGAGGCACUGAUUAGGUACGCAAGACGCUUACCUCUAGCUAGGCGCAAAGCCCCACACAAGUGCAUUUUCUCUUUUAUUCUAUUUCUUCUUCUUCUUCGACACAACUAAGUUGUAGAGCAAUGAAGAGUUUAAGAUUUUUAUUUUGUUGUUGUCUCCAAAAUGAUGUCGUUUGGUACCUUGUUUUUUUUUUUUUUUUUUGUUCAAAACAAUGUUGUUUUGGACCUUGUUUUUGUAUUGCAGCCCCCAAACACAAGUUUUGAAAGCCAACAAAAAAAAAAAAAAAAACACCCUUAGCCUCUAACUUUUGUGAACUUGUAAAGAUUAAGAAGAAAAGAUGAUUAUAAUGAAGAAAAAAAAAAUAGAGGUACCUUUUUGGGCCCUUAGUGUACCUCACUUCACUAACACUCACACCUUAAGUGCACCUUGUACCUUAGGUUCUAAGAGGAAUUUGCGUCUUAGUAUGCCUUGAGCCUUAUAAAUGUGAUAUUUGAUUGUAAAUGCUUAAUUUAUACUUAAUGCAAAAGACCAUUUGAGAAAAUUUUACUUGAAAUCAUAUAUUGGGAUCUUUCUUGGUUACUCACUCUUUAAGUAAGGCUUGCAAAGUUCUUUUUUCAAAAUUAAUGUUGAUUUCAUGUUAUUAUACUUAGUCCAUUAAUAUCAUAUAACUUCUUAAUGUCAAUCCUUCAUUUCUUCUUACAUAUAAUGACAAUGCAUUUUAAAGAGAUUAUAUAAGAUAUAAAAAAAUAAAAAUAAAGAUAAAGUUGUACAAGUAAUGCAUUUAUACAAAAUAUUUUAUAUUUAAAGAAAGAUAAUUCACAAAAUGUAAAAUAUAGCAUUUUAAAAUUUAUAUAAACACCUUACAUGCAAUGAAAACAAAAGUUUUGUGUUAGUGAAAAAUUUUAUUUUAACCAUUUGAGUCAAAAUAAAAAAAAGAAAAAAGAUAGUAAAUUAGGUAUUUUAUAAUAAUUCAUAUAUUUAGGAUUUUGGUCUCAAUAUCAUAAUCACCACAAAAUAAUCAUUUUAAUGGUUAUUAUUAAAAUAUAAUUUUUAUAUAUUUAACAUCUGUUGGCAGAUCGGAGGGUUGGCUGCGUCCAUCAACUCCUUUUGUGUUUGCCGUGGGCGCUUGGGUGAAUGCACUAUAAGGUUAAGGUAUGCGCAUUUCCUAACAACAAUUGCUUUUAGGAGAGUUGGUAGCGUAUGAGGUCCUACAACAUCAAUAUAUAAAAAAUAUAUUCUAAGUUUAAUAAAAAAAAGCAUUAAAUAUGGGUAGAAUGAAUAAAAUCUUUUGUAAUAUCAUAAAUAAAUAUUUUAUACAUGUAAAAAAAAAAUAGUAUGAGAGGCUAAAAUGAAGAUAUUAAUUUUGCAAAUAUAAUGAUAUAAAUAUGAUGUAACUAGAAUAUAAUGAUUUUAAAAAUAGGGUGAAUGUAAUUCAAUAAUAGCUUAAUUGUAAUUAAAAAUAUUCUAAUUUUAAUAAGAAAAUGUUAAAUAUGAAUAGAAUGAUUAAAAAGACCUUAUUUGUUAAUUUAUUAAAAGGAAUGAAUAUGGGAAACAAAUUUUAGAAAAAUAAAAUACUUACUGUUAAAUAAUUAUUUUAAAAUUAAGAUGAUAAAACUAAUAAAAGGUGAAUGAAGUAUUUUUGCAAUAUAAAUAUAACAAAGCAUUUUGUAAAUGGCAAAAGAUAAAAUAAAAAGACAAAAAUGAAGCUAUAUAAGAUAAAAUGAUAUAAAAUCAAUCUAUAACUUAUUGAGGUAUUUUAAAUUAAUUAAUUAUAAAAUUAAUAUAUUAAUGAAUAUAAGUAAUAUAAGUUUUUUAAAAAAUUAUUUAUCAAAUUUAUGAAACCUCACAUAAAUUUGAUUAAAAGCCGAUUUGAAAGUGAUUUUGAUUAUAAUGAUGUUUAUGUUAGAAAUGCUUUCAUUAAUAUUUGGAUAUACCUAAAAAGUUGUCUUGAUAAUGUCUUUGGUAUGAUGUUAUAUAAACAAAGAGUUGUUUCUAGAAGAUCAUCUCUAAAAAGUUAGUAAACAUUUAAAUUUUGUAAGAACAACUUCUAACUUAGCUUUAAUUACUUCUAACCUUAACCAUUUUAAAUUGAUCAUUGAUUAUGGAAUGAAAAUCUUGAAAAAGAAAGGGUUAUUUGGUUAAGAUGGUUGAAAUAAGGGAGAUUAUAAAUGUAUCCACCAAAACUCUAUUUGUAUUGAUUCGUUUAAUAAAAAUUUUGAGAUAUAAAUGUCUUCUAUUGAAAUCCAUAAAAAUUUAACUUAUAUCAUAGCUAUGUUGGAUCCUAUACUUCUAAACGCUAUUAAGAAUGUUCAAUCGUAUACUUCUAGACACUCUUAAGGAUGUUUGACUCUAUAGUUCUAGAUAUUUCAACUAUGCCUAGCCUUCUAGGAUCAGACACCAUAGGUUCCAUUUUUUUUCCUCCAUUUAUCUUGCAAUUUUUUACGAUUUCUCACUUCUAAAUCACAUUUAUAUUCUUUCUAAUUGUUUUUCAACCACUUUUAUAAUAAGUUUUUUUUUUGGGUAAAAAAUUAGACAUAAAUAAGCCUUAAAAGAUUUCUAUAUUCUAUGUUAUUUAUAGUUACUGUUUGUGGUUGAGAAGAAAUAGGUUGAGAGAAAAAGAAGAAGAACAAGAAAAGUCUAGGGAGUGAAUAAUGGAAAAGUGUUUUAGAUGGAUGUGUAAAUAUGUCAAAUGCAAAGAAGCUUUUAGCAUAUAUAUUGAUAAUUUUCCGUGAAAUAAUGCCUAUAUUUGAAAAACUUUUUCAUUUUAAAACAUUAAAGAUGACCCUUGUGAGAAAGAACAAAAACAUAUUACACAACCAUGUUUUGAAGGGAGAAGGAUUACAAUAUGAGUGAGAGUGUUUUUUAAAAUAGGUUUUUUUAUAUAUAUAUUUUUUUGAAAACAAAAUUUUGUUUGAAAACUUAAAAUGUUUUUAACUUAUUUACUAUAGCUAUGUAAUGUUUUAUUUUCAAUAAUUAUUUUUUAAAAUAACCUUACAAAACAAAUAAAAACAAUAAAAAAUAAAUAAAAACAACCUACAAUAAAUAAAAUCGUGUUCAAGGAAAUAUUUUAUUUUUAGAAUGGUUUUUUAAAACUUGUUUUGAGAAAGAUUUGUAGUCAUUUUUCCAUAUUAAUAAAAAAAAAGAAGUUAUUUGAUUAAAAAAGUCAUUAAAACCUAAUUUUGGAAAUCUAACUCUUCAUUUUUUUUUUGUCAUAUUUUGACAAAAAUAUCCUUAUUUUUAUUAUAAAAAUAAUUAUUAUUUUUAAAACUUAUAUGUAAAUAGUUGAAAUAAUCAUAUACAUUUAUAUGAAAAAUGAGUUACUUAAAAAAAAAAAGAUAUAUAGGAAUAUUCACUAUACGAGAGUAUUCCAUCCCAUUUAACUAAUGAGUUACUCGAUUAAAAGGGUAAUUGAAAAUCCAAAUUUUGAAAAUCUAACUCUUCAUCUCUUUUUGUCUCAUUUUGAUAAAAAUAUCCUCCUUUUUUUCGUACAAAUAAUCAUUUCUUUUAAAACAUAUUAUAAACACAUGAAAUUAAGGGUAUUUUUGUUUAUUCUUUAUUUCAUCCUUUUAAUCAAUUAUUUAUUAUUUCUUAAAAAUUGGGCCGGCCAGGCGCAAACCAUCAUCACUUCAUGAGUCCCGAUCUCCGUUUAGAGUUACACAAAAGCAUUCAAUCAUUUCUUCUCCAAACUCCGCGUUUCAACCGAUCUGAGGUCUAGGUAUCGCUCCAAUCUCUAUUACAAUUCAAUCAAUCGACUUCUAUAUUAGAUGCAACAGUUUGGAUCCUGAGAAAAUGACAAGAAAAUGAAAAAAAAUUUUGAACUUGAAGAUUUUUCUCAUCAAGGCUCGAGAAUGGCAUAGGAAUCAAAAUGUGGUUUUCUUUUAUUUUUCUUCAUUGUCAUGGUAACCGCACAGAGGGUCAGAUUUCACUCUGAGUGGUUUAUAACUCGGAAAUUUUGAAUUCUAGAAUCUAGGUUUCUCUUCGAUCAACUGCGGAACUAUUGUCAGUUUGGAUUACAACUCAAACUGAAUUUUUUGUUAGCCUUAUUUGAUAUUUGGGAAUGUUUUCUAGUAUGAAGAUUUAGUUUAGAUGUGGAGAAAAUUUGAGAAAAUUAAUUAAAAUUUUGAAUUGCAGAAUUUUCACUAGCAAUGAGUUGGGAAUACAGAAAAAUGCCAUUUUAGUUGCAAUUGACAAUGUCUGUUUGAUUUAGUUGAUCGGAGGGGUUUCGACUUCUCCUCUCUCUCUUUCUCUGUCUCCCUCUAAGAUGAUAGAUAACAUAUGUUUUCUUUUUUAUUGCUCUAUUUUCUUGGAAACCAGACAGAUAGCUAGGAUUUCUCUUUGAAUGCUUUUAUUGAUGAACAUUUUUAAUUCUAGGAUUUCAUUUUCGACUACAGCUCAAGGACGAUUUUUUGUAAAAUUAACUUACUAACAUUGUUUUAUACAAUUAUAUAUAAAAGGAAGAUUUGGCUUGCCCUACUUCACUAAUUUUCCAAUGAAAAGAUAAAUGGUACCUACCAUGCUGUCAAUGAAUCCCACUGUAAAUCGAAGCUUGUGAAAUAGAAGGAAAAGCAACAACAAAAAAAAAAAAAAAAAAAAAAAAAAGAAAGUAUAGACUAUUAUCUUGAAAGAAGAAAAGGAAGAAUUUUAAAAUGCAAAAUAAGUAAAAUGCAUUUACUUUUAUCAAUUAUGACCAAUAAAUAAUAAAAAGGUGAAUAUAUUAUGAUUGUUACAGUCAAAUAAUAAAGAUGUGGAAUACGAGGGGAAAUAAGUGAUAUAGUAGGGAUACUUUGGGAAAAAAUUUUUACAAACUCCUCAUGCGUUUAUAUAUGAUAUAGAUAUAGAUUAUUAUGGAGCCAGAGGUACAACUAGAAAGAACUGGAAUAGGAAAUUUUUGUAAUGUAUGGUAAUCUUUCUGUUAUUCAAAUUGCGAUCAGCCCUUGGUACUUAGUGUGUAUAGAAUUAAACUGUUUACAUUUGUUUUCAAUGGAAAUUUAAAAUAAGUGUAUUGCAUUGUUGUUCUAGCCAAGCACCUCUACAAAAAAGAUGUGGUUUCGCCUUCCACUUCAUGUUACAUCUUAGAUGCCUCUCAAUAUACAAUAGCGAACCAUAUUCAGCUUAGCAUUACCUUUGCAUUGUUGUUUAUUUCUCAAGUAACUUUCUUUUGAGGAAUCUGUAUUUUAGCAGUUCUUUGCUUAAUCACUUCUUUAAUUUGUUUAUUUGGUUCUAAACUUUGUAGUUUAAUGGUUGUAGUUUUCUCUAUUGCAAACAAUAAACAUCUAGCUUUAUAUGAUCCAUCACAGCCUCUGGUUCAUUAGACUGGGGUUCAUCUCUUUACUCCUGUUAGUUACUGUUUAUAGAAGAUUUUACUUUUUUGAAAUUCUGUACAGAGUGAUCAUUUUUGUUUUGAUACAUAUAAUGGCAAUGGUGCAGUUCAUGCCUUAGUUACUUUAUCUUUUUAUCAUAUUUCUCACAAUCAUAAGGCAUCUUCUAUGAUAUUGCAGAUAUUACUUUCAGUGGGAAAAUGAAUUUUUUGAUGCGACCUUCGCAUACUGCACAUGCAGAUGAGCCACCUGUUCAUGAAAUUUCUAAGGGCACACAACAUGUGACAAAACCUACAGCAACUUUGGAGGGUCUUAUAGCUGAAGAUUCAUUUCCAAAUUAUUUUGUGGAUGAAAUUCAUGGUGAAGUUGGAGGUGAAAAUGGCAGUGUUGCAGGUCUAAGUUCAAAAAGUGACUCUCCUGACCUGGUGAACCUCUCAGAUGUUACAGAAGAAGAAGGAUGGAUAAUUAUCCCACAAAGUAUUCCUUUGCCUUUUUAGCUACCUAGUUUAUAUUGAUUUAUCAAGCAAUAUGCAUUUCCACCUACACAAACACAUAUUCAUGCAUGGGUAUACUCACAUACAUUUAUCUGCAUCAGGACCUGUUUUGACAAGGUGUAGCUUGGCUUAUAAGCAGGCAAAGAUUAUUUAUUAUACUAACUACUUGAACCUACUGUUUCCACCUUCUUGUUCUCAUCAAAUUUGCACUUCAACCAUAAACAGAAGUCUUCCUUGCUGUCAUAGUUUUAAAAAGCAUGCCUAGGUAUGGGACAAUGUGACGUGGGGCUUGUGCCUCGCUUGUGGUCAGACCCAACCCAUUUGAAGAGGGGCAGCUUAGGUGCAAAAGGUACGCACGCUGAGCCAGGCGCAAGGCUCUCUUAAGGGACACCUGUGCUGUCCCUUUUUUUUUUUUUCUCCUGGCUAAAAAACGACGUCAUUUUGGACUGUUUCUUAGGCCGAGGAGAGAAGAUGGAAGAUGAGUAGUGGAGAAGAAGAAACAAGGGAAAGAGAGAAGGGUGUCCAAUACCUGGUGGCUGCUGGCAAUUCUUGGAGAGGGCUCAUUUUUCUUUUUUCCUCCCAUGCAUAGAAUACUCAUAACCCACUGGUAUUUAUGAAUUUAUAUCUAUAUAUUUAUAUUUUAUUUAUUUGUUUAUUUAAUUUAUUUUUAUGAUAAAGCGAUAAUUAGAUACUGAAGAUCUAUAAUUUGAAAAUUGAAAUACUUAUUUAUCUACUUUUUUUAUUUUUUAUUUUUAAAUUGAAUAUAUUGUGAAUUAUUUUGAUUUAUUUAUUAUUCAUUUACUAAGAUAGUUAUAUGAUGAAAGUUUUAAAAUUUUGAAACUUCUUAUUAUUUUGCAUGCUUUUUCUUUUUUAAAAUUAAUUGAAUUAUGUAGUAUUUCUAUUUUAUAUAAUAUUUUAUUUAUUUAUUUAUCCAUCUAUUUAUUUAUAAUGAUAACUAAAGCUACUAAACUAUUUAUCCAUUUCUUUUGAAUAUAUAUUCCUAUAUUAUAUAAAAUUGUACAUGUGACUAGGGAUGCACCUCAAGCUCGUGUCUUGGGUUGUGCCUUGUGCCUAAGCUCCAAGAUAACAUUGUGCCUUAAGUGCGCCUUCACCUUUUAAAACUAUGCUUGUUGUCCCUACUAUAUGCAAUUACUAUCUACUACAUUAUAAGAUCUAGUUUUUUGAAAUUGAGGGGAAGUCUUAAAGAAUUUAUGGUGUGUCCACUCAUCUUUUGUUUCCUUUGAGCAUAGUAAUUUUUUCUCAUUAGAAACAAACUAAUUUAUUGAUAUGAAUUGAUAAAUUCAACAAAAGACAAGAAGUCCUUCCAAAGUAUAUAAAGGUUGGUCAAGGAAUGUAAAAGGUAAAUAGAAUGCUCAGAAGGGCUAAUAAAACAAGUUGGACAAUUGAAAGGCAUAACAAAAACUUGUACGAGCAAAAAAAACUCUUACAUAACUUAGGAGAUAAAAAUUCAUCCCCCCCCAAAAAAAGAAAAGAAAUUGUUGUUUGGCUUAUUGAUUUGCAAUGUGUUUAGGUAACUGUGGAUCCUAGGAGAAAGAGCACCCUAAGUGACUAAUGACAUCUAUAAUGAAGCCAUUCAUUAUACUUUCAUGAACUUCUAUCUCAAUAGCCAAGUCUACCUUUUUCAAUUGUUUGUAGAGACUUAAAGCGUUAACUUAUAGCAACUCCCUUUAAAAGUGCUAAAAUAUUUGCCUCAAUGACCAAACCUUUCCUUGCUGGUUUAGGAAAGGCUCUUAACAUGGUUUCAUAUCUGAAUGCACCUUCAAUCCUUAGACCACCAUGAUUACCUAAAAAACAUCUUCAGAAUUAACUUAAGAGAAUUAGAGGUGGAUUUAGAUUUGUUGCAACUCCAGUUCCAAUUCCUUGGACAUAUAAAUCGGGAAGUUGCAAAAGGCACAAAGGAAUGCUAACAAAAGCUGCUAAGGUGUAAGCUAAUAGAAAAGCAUAGAAAAAUACCACAUCUGAAGUAGUGUCUGCAGACCACCAUUUAUUGUAGAAAAUUGUGAUAUUCUUUGCUCUCUACAUUAUCUGAAUUUAGUAAGGCUAGCCUUACUUCAAAAUAGCUUAGCUUUAAGAGAUGCACAAAACUUGUAGAGAAGAUGAUCUUAUCUAUCAUGCUUCUUGGAGAAAAUAGUUUCUUAGAAAAUUUGAACAAUGCAUGCCAAAACCUUAAAGCCACCAGAAGUUCACAUGGCCUCCUUACUUGUAGCAUAUUACUGCCUUCUUAUUGACCAAAAUCCAUGCAAAGGUCUUUGUCAUGGAUGAAGCUUUAAAUUUUCAAAUGAGAUUGGCUAGAUUCAUGAACAAUGAAAGAGUUAAAGAGAAAGACCUUAGUUACAUAAAAUAACCUAAGGAACUCAAGGAUCAUGGCUUGAGGUCCCGGGAAUGGGCCUGCUUGGAUGGUAAAUUGAAUGGGUCGUCCUCACAUGGUCCAACUUUGGGCCUUAAAGAGCAGGAGAAGGAGGGUGGGCUGGCUAAGAGAGAUGGGUCUUUGGGCCAAAAAUUAAAGGAUAAAUUAAAGGUGGCUGGUGUGCCAGAGGCAGGCCCAUCGUCUAGCAAUUGGGCUGCUGGACUGGGCUGCCAUUCUUCUGCUGCGAUGGAAGGAUUGGAAAGGGAGGGCCCUAAUGCUAACCAGGAGAAGGCUGUGUUAUUGGGCUGCUUAUCUUCCAGAAAAAGACCCACUCCAGAGGAUGUCUUGACGUGCUGGGUGCCAGAGGAGAUCAGUAGGGAACAGAGGGUUGAUGGUUUCUCCACGACUGACAGUGCGCUUCAAGAAGAAGCUAAGAGGUAUGCCCUGCAUUUCUAUCCUAAAGGAAAUCAGGUUAUGGGGACGUCUCUUCUUCUCUCUUCUAAUUUUGAUCGGGCUACGGAGGGGGAGUCUUUCGAUCGUCCAGGGGAAGUAGAGGAGGAAUUAUGGGGGGACAAAUCAACUUGGCUAACAGUCUAUGAGGGGAAUGACGAGACUGUGAAUGAAUCCUGGAAGUUGGGAGAGGCUAACAAAAACAGAGACAAGGUUAGGGGUAAGGAGGGAAAUGAUGGUGUCUCAGGGAUUCAAGUCAUUGAAAAUGAGAAAGGGUAAUUAUGGGAGGAGUGUAGCUUGGCGAAAUUUAGCCAAUUUCUGGGUUUCUCUACGGAGGGUAUAGAAAAGGAGAUAUUGAAUUUCCUGACUAAAAUCAGGAAAAGGAGGGAAAAGAUUCACAGCAAAGAACUCUUGGAGAAGACCAAAUUUGAAAGGGAACUAAAGAGGCUGGAAUGCUCUGUCAAUUAUGAGAGAGGGAAUAAGCAGAAAGCUCUCUCACAGGGCAAAGGGAACCAAUUGAUAGUUGUCCAAUGAAGCUGAAGAUUAUAAGUUGGAAUGUGAGGGGAGCUAAUGAUAGCUCUAAGAGGAAAAUUAUUAAGAACUAUAUCAGGAGCCAGAGGGUGGAUCUAAUGUGUAUUCAGGAAACCAAGAUUCAGGAGAUGUCGGAGGGUAUAGUGAGAAGCCUGGGCACUGGGAGAUUUUUAGACUGGAGAGCUCUAAAUGCGGAGGGGGCUGCGGGUGGCAUCCUGAUAUGCUGGGACAAGAGGGUCUUGGAUAUCUUGGACUGGGAGGAGGGUCACUUCACUUUGUCUUGUAGAUUCAAGACUAUAGAAAAUGGGGUUACUUGGGUUUUCACGGGAGUGUAUGGGCCCUUUACUAAAAUGGAAAGGGAGGGUAUGUGGGAGGAAUUGGGGGCGGUCAGAGGGCUUUGGGACGAUCCCUGGUGUCUUGGUGGGGAUUUCAAUAUCAUUCUGUUCCAACAAGAAAGGAGUAGCCAAAGAAGAAUCACCACAGCUAUGAGGAGAUUUGCAGAGACUAUGGAUGAGUUAGAGCUGGUGGACAUGCCUCUUCAGGGGGGAGAAUUCACCUGGAAUGGGGGGCUCAACAAUCAGGUAUGGGCGAGACUAGACAGAUUUUUAGUUUCCCCUACCUGGCUUGAGAUGUUUAAUGGUGCCACUCAGAUCAGAUUGUCUCGGCCAAUCUCAGAUCACUUCCCAAUCGUGUUAGAGGGGGGUGGAAUUAGAAGAGGUCCAACCCCGUUUAGAUUCGAAAAUAUGUGGCUGAAGGUUGAGGGGUUUCAAGAUGUUGUGAGAACAUGGUGGCAGGGGAUUGAUGUCAGGGGUAGCGCUAGCUACAGAUUGGCUAUUAAAAUGAAGGAAAUUAAGAAGAGGUUGAAAGUUUGGAACAAAGAGGUUUUUGGGAGGUUGGAAACCAAUAAAGCCUCAGCCCUAGAACAAGUAGCCUUUUGGGAUCGGGUGGCAAGUGAAAGAACUUUGACUGUGGAGGAGGCUAAGCUAAAAAAGGGAGCUAAGGACUCCUUGAAGAAAUGGGUCCUGUUGGAGGAAGCACAUUGGAGACAGCACUCAAGGGAGAUUUGGCUAAGGGAGGGGGAUAGAAAUACGGGGUUCUUUCAUAGAAUGGCGAGUGCUCAUCGAAGAAACAAUGUUAUGGGCAGAAUUAAGGUUAAUGGGGAGUGGCUGGUAGAGGAGCAGGAGGUGAAAGAAGGCAUUGUGAAUUCGUUUCAGCAGUUGCUUACUGAAGAUAUGGUUUGGCAGGCUGAUAUUGGCAAUAUUCAGGUGGGUUGUAUCAGCCAGCAAGAUGCAGAGAGUCUAGAAGUCCCUUUUGCAGAAACUGAGAUUCACUUGGCGAUGAUGGAGAUGAAUGGGGACAAAGCCCCUGGCCCGGAUGGGUUUACUGUAGCAUUCUGGCAAAAUGCAUGGGACUUUGCCAAAGAGGAGAUCAUGGAGAUGUUUAAAGAAUUUCAUGAGCAUAAUACCUUUGUUAGGAGCCUCAAUAAUACUUUUCUGGUGUUGAUACCUAAGAAAAGCGGGGCGGAGGAUUUGGGAGACUUUAGACCUAUCAGCCUGUUGGGGGGCCUAUAUAAACUUUUGGCUAAAGUCUUAGCUAACAGGCUCAAAAGAGUGAUUGGUAAGGUGGUCUCUAGUGCUCAAAAUGCCUUUGUAAUGGGGAGGCAAAUUCUGGAUGCGUCCUUAUUUGCUAAUGAGGUGAUAGACUCGUGGCAGAAGAGAAAAGAAAAGGGCCUUAUCUGCAAAUUGGAUAUAGAAAAAGCUUAUGACAGCAUUAAUUGGAAGUUCUUAAUGAAGGUCCUCCAAAAAAUGGGCUUUGGGAACAAGUGGGUGGGAUGGAUGUGGAGCUGUGUAUCUUCUGCGAAAUUCUCUAUUCUUGUUAAUGGAGUGCCAGCUGGGUUUUUCCCUAGCACUAGAGGGCUUCGUCAAGGGGACCCUCUAUCCCCUUACCUCUUUGUUAUGGGAAUGGAGAUUCUGGACGUUCUCAUUAGGAGAGCAGUGAAGGGGGGAUAUUUUUCAGGAUGCAACAUUCGGGGCGGUAGUAGAACUUCAUUGCAUAUCUCCCACUUAUUUUUUGCUGAUGACACGAUUGUGUUUUGUGAGGCAAGCAAAGAUCAAGUCUCUCAUCUAAGCUGGAUUCUCUUUUGGUUUGAAGCAGCCUCGGGUCUUCGUAUGAACCUAGCCAAAAGCGAAAUCAUUCCAGUUGGAGAAGUGGAGGAGAUUCUGGAGUUGGCUGCUAAGUUAGGGUGCAGGGUGAGGUCUCUACCCUCCCAUUAUUUGGGUCUCCCUUUAGGGGUCCCCAAUAGGGUUUCUUCUAUGUGGGAUGGAGUGGAAGAGAGGGUCAGGAGGAGACUUGCGCUUUGGAAAAGACAGUACAUUUCCAAAGGGGGGUGGAUCACUCUUAUAAAAAGUGCCUUGGCCAGUAUGCCAAUUUACCAAAUGUCUAUCUUCCGUAUGCCUAAGUCCGUUGCUAAAAGAGUGGAGAAAAUCCAAAGAGAUUUCCUUUGGGGGGGUGGAAAUUUGGGAGGAAAAAUUCAUCUAGUAAAAUGGGAUGUGGUCUGCACAGAAAAACGCAAUGGAGGGCUAGGAUUAAGGAGAAUAGCCACUCUGAAUAGAGCCUUGUUGGGCAAGUGGACUUGGAGGUUUGCGUGUGAAAGGGAUAACCUUUGGAAACAAGUGAUUUCUACGAAAUAUGGGCAAGAGGAUUAUGGGUGGAGGGCUAAGAAGGUUAGUGGGGCGGCUGGAGUUGGGGUCUGGAAGGAGAUUAUGAAAGAAUCUGAAUGGUGCUGGGAAAAUUUGGCUUUUCUAGUUGGGAAGGGCUCCAAAAUUAAAUUCUGGAAAGACAGCUGGUGCACUGAUACUCCGUUGUCCCAAUGUUUCAACCAUCUUUUUGUCCUUGCCGUGCAUAGAGAUGCUUCGAUUGAGGAGAUGUGGGACCACCAUUCGGGCCAAGGAGAUUGGAAUCUGGUUUUUGUGAGGGACUUCAAUGAUUGGGAGCUGGAUAUGGUUGGUGAUUUGCUCCGUACUUUGAGGGGUCAUAGGCCUUCCCUGGAGGAUGACUCAGUUAAAUGGAGGCAAGGAAGAGAUGGUCUCUUCAGGGUUAAAGAAGCUUACAGGAUGUUGGAUAAACCUAAUGCCACAUUGUUUCCCGCAAGGGGAAUAUGGGUGGAUAGGGUACCAACUAAAGUCUGUUUUUUUGCUUGGGAGGCUACUUGGGGGAAGGUGCUCACUCUGGAUAGGCUUCAGAUAAGAGGGGUGCAACUCCCAAAUUGUUGCUUUUCGUGUGGUUGUGAAGAAGAGAAUGUAAAUCAUAUUCUUUUACACUGUAUAGUGACUAGAGCCCUUUGGGAUAUUAUUUUUGGGUUGUUAGAUAUUAAGUGGGUCCUCCCAGAAACAGUUAAGGAGGCUUUAACCUCCUGGAGGGGUUCAUUUGUUGGAAAGAAAAGGAAACAGAUAUGGAAAUCCAUUCCGUUGUGUAUUUUUUGGACGGUCUGGAAGGAGAGGAAUAGGUUAGCCUUUAGGGGGGGUGUGGUGAAUGUUCAAAGGUUAAAGAAUUCUUUUGUUUGUAACUUAUGGAAUUGGGCCAAAGUGUAUUUAGGUGAGGAGGCUUUCUCCCUUAUAGGUUUCUUAGAGUGGAUAGCUUCCACUUGAGGGGAGGUAGUUCUUUUUGGUCCUUUUCCUUUUUUGAGGCUGUAGUCAUCUUGUAUACUCCCUGUAUGCUUUGUGGCGUUUAGCCUUUUUUAAUGCAAUCUUGUUUACUUAUCAAAAAAAAAAAAAAAGAUGGAAAAAAGUAUACAUGGAUUGAAGACAAAAUGAGAAGUUCAAGGCCUCUAUUUUUGGAUAAAAAAUGUUGCAGUAGAAAUUAACAUUCCAAGACACAAGAAAAAGGAGAUUCAAAUAGGAGACUCUCUUGUUUUCACUAGUAAAAGAAAUGCAAUAAAGAAAAAAAAAAAGGGGGGGGUGGGGGGUGGGGUGGGGAGAAAGAAAGAAAAGAAAAAAGGUUGAGUGUCUUGUUUUCAUUACUUUGAAAAGAAUUGGAAAUUGAAUAUGGAAGAAUGAUCAAAUUUUGGAAAGAUCGAUGUGGUGGUGACUCCUCUUUGGAAGAAUCUUUCCCAUCUUUGUUCUCAGACAAAGAUCUCUAGGUAGUGGAUAUGUGGGAGUAAUAUGGGGAAAGUGUUUGGUGGAGCCCUUGCUUUUCUAGACAGUUUCAUUAAAGGUGUGAAUGGCUUUUUACAUAACUACAAGCUUGCUUAGUUAGGAGAAAGGAGGAUCAUACUUUGGAGUGGAGGGAUUCCAAGGGUGGCAAGUUCUUUGUCAAAUCCUUCUACCUUUCACUGCUCUAGGGAAGUAGAAAGCCUUUCCCUGUAAGUUGUGUUUGGAAUCCUUGGAUCCCAUUGAAUGUGUUUUUUUUUUUUUGCUGGCAGAAUUUCGACUGUCAAUCAACUUAAAAGGAGGGGAUGAAGUAUGCUGAACAGGUGUUAUAUGUGCAAAAUGAAUGAAGAAACAACUAAUCAUUUGCUCCUUCACUGUCCUAUCACAGGUGUCUUAUGGCAGUUAAUCUUCUCUUUGUUUGGAGUGGUUUGGGUGAUGCAUUCAACAGUUAGAGGAACCUCUAUUAAGCUGACAUGGUUCCUUUGUGGGUAAGAAGUGGAAAAAAGCUUUGAGGGCCACUCCUAUGUGUUUGUUCUGGAUGUUGUGGAAGGAAAUAGAAGAGUCUUUGAAGAUUCGAAGCUAACAAAACAAACGAUGAAACUCUCUUUUAUGAAUACAUUUUUAGAAUGGGUUAGAUUGUAGAUGAUUUUUCCAUGACCAUGACAGGUUUUUUAGAUUAGAUUAGCUCAAAGUAAGGAGAAGGGGUGAGGGGUCUUUCUUUUGUUCCUUUCCUCUUAUGUUUGCUUGAUUUUAGGUGACUUAUGUACGCUUUCCGUGUACUUGGUUACGCCUUUGAUUCAAACGCUUCUCUUACGUCUUUAUAUAUAUUCUUUUGAAUUGCCUAUAAAAAAAUGAGCCAUCAAAGGUCUUCUCAAAAAUGAAUCUUCAAUAUCAUUAUCCAUAAUAAAAAUAUGCGUGAAACGAAAAAUCAAAGAAAAUUUGGAUGAUAGUCGUCCGAAGGCAAUGGUGCAACCACCUGAGCACAUUGUUCUCAUUAUUGGAAUGUGAUUUCUAGAUACUUAAAAUGGCCUCAUGCAUAAAGCAUUACUCUCAUUGGGAAACCUCCAUGCCCACUACCUUAAAAAGGUUUCAUUCCUCAAAGAAAUCUUUUGUAAACCAAUACCUGAUUCUCUUAGACUUAAAUACCUAGUUCCCAUUAAGGAGGUGGUCUUUCCUUUUAUCCCACACCCUUAUCGAGAAAACGCAUUUGCAAUUUCUCAAUUCUUUACAAGUCAUUUUGAUUAAAAUCUGUAACAUAAGAAUGAAGUAAAUGGAAAUAUGAGACAAACAAGAUCGCAUAAGGGCUAUUCAUUGCUAAAGGACAAGUAAGCUUUCUUUCAACCAUCAGGUCUCUAAGAAAUCUUGUCUACUACUGAAUCCUAAAAUGAAGCAACUUUGUCAUUCCUUCUCAAGAGGAGACCCACGUAUUUGUGGCCUUAUAUUCCAACAAUCAAAUAAUUUGGUUUUGGAUAAUAUUGUACCUUGACAAUAGGCUCUUAUCUAGACUUAUCUUAAGACGUGAUAUUUGCCUGAAAACCAUCAAAAUGAGCUUAAGAUUUGGUAAUUUCUUACCUAGUUUCUGAAAGAAUAUGGUUUUGCUUGUGAAUUAUAGGUGAGACACCCUAGUUCUAGUUUUUCCCAUUUGAAACAUUAGUUUGCUGAAACAUCAGCCACAGUGGUAGAAAGGAUACAUGAAAGGGGAACACCUUAUUUUAAUCUUCUUAUUCGCCUUAUGUAUUGUCUCCAUAUUGAACUAAAACCUUUUCUUUCUAAAGCAUGGUUUAGAACAUCCAAUCCUCAUUAUCAUGUAAACCUUUUCAAAACCAAUCUUGAAAACAAUUCUCUCUUCUCUAGAUUGUCUUUUCUAUGAUUUCAUUAGCCACCAAAAUCUAUUUCCUUAAUAAAAGUUCACUUGGAGAGAUGAAUGGUUUUAUGCAAGUCUUCUUAAAUGUGAUGAGACAAAAACUUGACUAUAAUCUUGUAAGUGCUUGCCACUUAAAUGAUGUGUCCAAAAUCUGAAAUUCUAUUAAUAAAGUGUAUAAUAUAAAGAACACACCAAAAAGAGUGGACCAAAUCACAUAGGACAUAUACAAUGGUCAUCAAAAGGCACAAAAAAAAAACAAGAGGGACUACAAAACCUACUCCCUCCCUCAGUGAGAACCCAAUCAAUUAGUAAAUUUAAUUUAGAAUGAACCUUUCAUCCAUGUACAACUUUGCCUACAACAAAAGAUUGCAAAGAAAAGUGUUUUUUCAAUCUUUGAUCAGAAUGUUCCUCAUUUUAAAAUGAGCUC
rnacentral:lncRNA from 1 species